rnacentral:lncRNA from 1 species
GCUAGACUGCUUGUUUUUUAGUAGUAGAUAAAGAGAAUAGAAAGUGCCACAUAAUUGACUUUACAGUCCCAAAUGAUAAAAAAAUCAAUAUGAGAGGUAUAGAAAAAAUAGCCAAGUACCAGGACCUAGCCAUUGAAUUACAGACACUAUGGAAAGUGCGGAUAAAAUGUAUCCCAGUAGUUACAGGUGCAUUAAGAACUAUCCCUAAAAUUUGAACAGAUGGAUAGAAGAAAUAGGCAUAAAUCCCACUUUAGUACAGCUCCAAAAAACAGUGUUAUUCGGGACAACUAGGAUACUUAGGAGAGUUCUUGGCAUCUAAGGUUGAUUGUUGUUGCCCGAUGAUAGGAAUUUUUCUUUUCCAACAAUCUAAUCUAUUGUGAGUAUAUGAAUAAUAAUAAUAAUAAUGAUAAUAGUGAUAAUAAUAAUUUUUCUAUUAACCACUGAGUGUUUACAAAAAGAUCGAGGAUGAUACAGGACGAUUCAAUGCACUCAUCUUGCAUCAAUAUGGGAUUACAUUAAAGUGUGCAAACAGUAUAAUAGCAGAAACAAAGAAACAAACAGUUCAAACAAAAAACUUCCUCGAAGGUGGGAGACUUACGAGGCCUGCUCGUUGGAACCCUACGAAACUGCAGUCACUCUUACCCUAGGGCAAAUUCUCCCUUUCUAUCCUCCUCCUUAAAUGUAUAGGCACAUGCUCAGAACAGGCCCGUUCACUCGAGUGAUCCUUGCUACAUUCACCUGCUUUUCAACAAAUUCGCUGGAAGGCAGCACUUUCUUCCCUCUUUCCAUUUCAAGUGAAACUUGAAAAGGUUGAUCAGGGCUUCAACAAGUAUCCGUCUUCAAACAUUUCAGUUUCGUCCACUUCAAUAUCUCUUUUGCUAAGGCCAUAACACAGCUGCAAGUUGCCAAUCCAUCUCGAUCAAAGGAAGGCAGCGAGACGAUAUAUUUACAAUGUACUCAGCUGAUAGCUGAAUCCGCUGGCACGUGUUCGAAACGACGCGGGAUUCAGAUGAGUACGCGCAAAACAAUUUCGUUGCUUUGCAUGCAUCUCUGGCAGGCUGAAGGCAUUUCCAUACAUGUAGAGUCUCCCGGUAGCGCUGACAGACCAGAGAUUUCUGGAAAUUAUCCAUAACUCCCAGCCAGAAAGUUUUCUGGGGAAAACCAAUCAAUUGAUUCUCAUUGAUUCUCCUUUACAACGUUGUCGCUCUUGUCCUCCGCUAAACCUUUAAAGAACCCCAAAGUGGAACUCCCACCAACUGCCUGACUUGUAGAGGGCUAUGAGGUCCAGACGAUACUUUAGGUCAGUGGUUUUCAACCAGGGUUCCGCGGAACCUUAGGGUUCCGCCAGUACAGUGCAGGGGUUCCGCAAGAAGUUACAAAACUGUUAAAAUCGGCAGUAAUUUUUAAGUCUCCUGUGCAGAUAUGUGUGCAUAAGACUAUUAAAUUAUUGCAAAGGAGUUCCUCGAGCCAGUGGAAUUUUUCCUUGGGGUUCCGCUCCAGCAAAAAGUUUGAAAAGCACUGCUCUAGGUGCUAGGCCGCCUUACCUCAAUCCAUGCUGUAUUCCUAACUGCAACUCUAUCAGAUAGAUGAGCUGUGAAAAGGCGAGUCUGACAAACGGCGUCCACAUCUGCUCACCGUCAUGGAAAUGCUAGAGACGUUGCAGCCGAUGUGUAUAUCUGCGCAUCAUCAGCUGUAGUAUGCUCAGUAUUCACUGAAUAGAGGAUUAGGCUUGCCCUGAAGUGCCUCAGCAGUGAAACGCGCCCCUUCUACAGAAAGGAGUAGAACAGGCGCUCCAGUCCGAUGAAAAGUGAGCUGGUACAAGGCACGGCAGCCAGGUGAUAUAAACGUUCGCCACUUCUGCUAGACUUUUUCAGAAAUAGCUUUCUCUCGCCCCAUUUGUAUACGAGAUAGACCACCCUGUUCAUCACCUCGUCCAAUUUCUUCUCCACUUGAAGGUCUGGAAUAAACGAGAUCCCAAACAAUUUAACCGAUCUGUCUGUCCAACGCUUAAAGACGUUGUCUCCACAAGAGCCAAGCGGAAGGCUCAUUCACUUUUCUAGGUUGAGUUUCACUGUGUGUGUGUGUGUGAAUUUGGUUGUGCUUGUACAGGAGAUGGUGGUGUGUGAUAGUGGUGGUAAUGGUGGUGAUGGGGUGAUGGGGUAAUGGUGUUGAUAGCAGUGAUGUAGCUGUUGUCGGCAGUGGUGUUAGUGCAUCGUUGCUUAAAAGCAUCUCUCCCAUUUGUUCAUAUCUCCCUGUUUUUUUCAUUGUUUCUUUUUUGUUACUGUUUGUCAUUCAGGGGCCUUGCUGUUAUGUUCAUCACACAAUAGGUUUGUAUGGUGUGAGUUGGGGAGGGGCAUGUCUUGGGGAGGUUUGUGGUAUUGUUCUGUUGUUGAUAUAAUUAUUGUUUGAGCAGCGGGUUCUGCUAUUAUUGUUGUUACUGCUGCUGUGGUCUGUGAUGUGCAGGCCUUUGUUAUUUUUUUGCUGUUGCUACCACGGUUGGUGUUGUUAUUGCUGUUGAUGUUGCUCUCCAUCUUGCAAGCUGGUGUUGCGAAUCGUUAUUGCUACAGCUGCUGUUAUUGCAGGUUUCGCCGCUGCUGGUUUUAUAGUUUGUCAUUAUUGCUGUUGUUGCUGUCGUGCCCCAUGCUGGUACUCAUUUCAACAAAUUAGACUGGAUCUUCCGUUGGAACUGUGACUGGAGAAUCGAUUUCAUAGGGACUUCAUAGAGACCAAAAUUAAUAAGUGAAAGCAUGUUGCAUGCCACUGUUUUAUCCUGGAUUCCGGUGACAUCUGUAAUUUGGUAUUAUCUUAAUAAGAGAAGGGAUUAUCUUGAUGAAUUCACUGCAAUUUUACGACAGGAAUUAUCUUGUUGCUAGGAACUCACUGCAAUUCCAGAUCGUUCGGUUUUGUGGGGGCUUGAAUUACGGCAAUAUUGAUUCCUAACAAAGUAGUUCAUCUCGUCCCCAGAAAAUCAUGGUUACGCCUAUGCUUUAACUCGAAGAAUUGAUGCAAAGAUGUAACCAUGAUGUUCUGAGGAUUUGAUGAGCUAGUUUUCUUGAUCUGCAUUGAUUUGUAAAUAUACAAUUGUAUUGUAUAAUCCGAAGCUUGAAUAUUAGCGCAGACAUAUGAAACAAUAUAUUUAUUAUUCAUUAAAAUUAUUCCAUGAUGAAGGCUACGAAACGGCCGUAAUCCUAAAGAUUAAAAAGUGGUUAAAUAAAUAUAUUCACGGAAAUGUCUCCUGUGGCUAAAUUACAGCAACAGUCGUCCUAAACCAGGACUGCCAUGUUAUGUUGGCAAUCAAUCUUUACUCCAAGGUACUGUUGCUGAAUAUCUCUCGUUGUGAGAUUUAAAAAUAGUAAAUUUCCAAAUAUAUUCACCUCUUAGACUGCUUGACUUUUUAUGUGUGUGUGUGUGUGAGUGCAUAUGCAUUGAUACGCACGCGUUCCACAUACACACAGAUAGAUAGAUAGAUAGAUAGAUAGAUAGAUAGAUAGAUAGAUAGAUAGAUAGAUAGAUAGAUAGAUAGAUAGAUAGAUAGAUAGAUAGAUAGAUAAGAAAUAUGUCACUGACAAACACUAUCUUUAAGAUAGCGUGUCAUUGAAUUCUACAUAUCUUUAUAAUAAAAAAACUACAUAUAUACUUGAAAUAUAAACACACACCCACACAACACAUACAACACACACACACACACACACAGAGUUUUAUAAAUGUAUAUUGAGGAGCAUGCUUAUAAACUUCGUUUAAAGUACAUUGCACACUCACAUAGGAACGAAGUCAAACUACCAACAAAUAGUAAAUGGCAACUGGGAAAACUAACACACACAAACACGCAGCUGUAUUCAAGCAUACAUACAAAGAUUUAAACUCAUAUAUUUUCCUUUGCUUAUUUGUUGUGUUUCUUUAGGAUUAAAAUCUAUUGGCUUCUUCAAUUUUUCAUUCAUUUCCAGUCAUAGCCAGAAUAUUUCUUCUCGCUUAUGUCGUCGACGAAAGAUAAGCAGCAACAACAACAACAACAACUGGAAUAUAUUCUUGACUGAAACUGUGGGGUUUCACACUACAUUAAAUUGUAAUAGAAACAGAUAGUGUAAAAAUAAUGAAUAAAUAAAUAAAAGUAUUUCCAGUUGCUUCGGAAACUAUUUAAGAAACUAAAAGAUAAAAUUCUAAUAUAAUCUUUCUUUCUACACUUAUAGAUUAUUAUCAGGAAACUCAGAAAAUUUAACUCGACAUCCUUUAUAUUUACUCUCCGCUGUUGAUGUUGGCAGACCUAGAGGUAAUAGUGGAGUAAACAGUAAAAUCGUUAAGCUUUAACUAUAUAUAUGUUUAUGUAUAUAUGUAUGCUACACACGUGCAUAUAUAUAUAGAGAGAGGGGGGGGGAGAAAGGGAUGAGGAGGGAGUUGAGAGACUUUUACGAGGAAAAGGUUAUCAGUGACUUCAAAAAUUUCGGUUUACCAGUCAUCACCAGUCAGUCUGAUAACGGUUGGUAAAUCAAAACUUCGAUGUCACAGUCAACGUUUCCUUGUAAAAAUUAGUAAAUGUGUACUCUACUAAAAAGUAUUGAACAAUUUUUCAAUUUAAUGCUGAAUUGUUUUUAUUUAUAACUUCACGUAAAAGCAAACAUUACACACACACACACACACACACGCGUACACAAACGCACAUACACACGUACACAAAUACACAAGUACACACGAACACACACGAUAAACAUACAGGGGUUGGACAAAAAAAAAGGAAGCACCGUGGUAAAAGGAAGUUUUAUUAUUUAGCAUGUCGAGGGUUUGAUUCUAAACGGUUGUUAGGGGAAUUUUGAGCCAGACUUCAAGUAAAACCUGUUUUAGCGCUUUCAGCAACGAUGGUGGAGGGAAGCGGCUCCUUACUUGCUGCUUUAAAAUGCACCAUAAAUAUUCGAUUAUAUCAAAAUCUGGUGGCUGUAGAGAUCAAUCUCAAUGGUCUUUCAUUAUCGUGAACUUCGUGCCAAUUUUAAAUAACAUUAACCAUGUGAAUCGACGAAUUAUCGACAUGGAAGAUUCAUGAGGAAUAAUGUUUGUACCAUAGGUUGGACAUGAUCAACUAAACUACUCAGAUAGUCAUUGAUGUUAACUCUGCCAUGCAGAACACUUAGAGGGAGGGUCCUGCUGAUAACGUUCAAGAUGUGGUUGAUGCUAUCGACAGUAAGACAUUCUAUUGUUUCAUAGGGCAAGCUUAAGGUCCUAAAAUCUCAGUACCAUUCUCUUUUGCUUUCUGUUGAAGGUUCUUCACUGUUCCUUAAAUCAAGAGAGAUCGCUGGGUUGAACACUUUCCUGGGCUGUUAAAGCAUGCAUUUGUUGUGGAUGAUACAGUAAUUGGCAAUUUUGAACAAAAGGCUUGUCGUCAAGCCUUCGGUAGGUGAGUCAUUAACUGCAAUGAGUAAAUUGAAUCUCGGUAAGUCUCCUAGUUAAGAUGAAGGGAGAGAGAGAAGGGAAAGAAGAGGAAGAGAAAGAAAGAAAGAAAGAAAGGGAGAAAGAAAGAGAGGGAGAGCGAAAGAGCAAGGGAGAGAGAAAGAGAGAAACGCAUGUCUAAUAAUCAAAUGAAUCCAAUUUUAAUCUACUUCCAUCUUUCUGUUUUCUAUUGUGUCAAAGCCACACUUUCUCACAUCGCGUUGCAAACAUUUCAUACGUUUCUCAAUCGAAUUUGAAAUCUUAACAAUAAACAUGCAACAAUAAUCUUGUUUGUCACAAUACAACAACAAAAUUAAUUCUUUAUAAAAAGCAAUACAUUGAUUUCUUGUUAUAGCCAACACUGUUUAAAAAAAAAUAAUUCUGAGGUAAUAGGCCUCGGUUGUAGCAACUUCAUCUUAAAGACUUGACCUUUCUUUCAUCUUCAAUCGCCUCGAAUCCAAAAUCUUCUCAACAAUUUAAUUUCCUCGAUAACACAAAUGGUCUUAUUUUUCUUCGCAACAUUAAACAUUCGAUGUUGCCAAGUUAAGUAUUUUGUUUUUAUCGACCCCGGAAGAAUGAAAGACAAAGUUGACCUCGACGCGAUUUGAUACGUAAUUAUAAAGAACCGAAAGAAAUUCUGCCGUACAUUUUCCGGUGCCUGCUGGUUGCCUUCAUCUUUGAUAUCAAUAAUGCAUAGAAGCCAAUUAAAAUGUAUUAAUCUCAUGCCACUGAUAACAGCAUAAAUGGAAUUUCUAUCUUUAUUUUUUACAUAGAAAGCAAUUUUCUUCUUCCCGUUAUGUAGACGUAGGUUGACAUAUAUUUCUCUAGUAUCAGCAAGAAUCAGAAUAUUUUUCAGUAUUGUGUACAAAGUGCCGUUUUUGUUUUAUAGAUAUUGUGAAAUUGCAGAUCCAGAUUUCAAAUCAAAGACAUUCUGUGGAGGAAAUCACACUAACACCACAAUCUGACAGCUAUCUUAAUUUGCCAAGUAUAAACAGGAUGACUAAUUAUUUUUAUUGUAUAUAGGCGCAGGCAUAUACAAUAAAAAUGGUUCCGGGUUCAGUUCCACUGCUUGGCACCUUGGGCAACUCUCUUCAACUAUAGCUUCGGGUUAACCAAAUCCUCGUAAGUGGAUUUGGUAGGCAGAAACUGGGAGAAGCUCGUCAUGUAUGUAUAUAUAUAUAUAUAUAUAUAUAUAUAUAUAUAUAUAUAUAUAUGUAUAUAAAUAUAUAUGUAAUAAAUAUUAGGGAAUAAAUCCAAAUUUACAGGGAAAAAAUCAGAUUUAGGAUUAAAUCCAAUUUUAUAGUAAAAUAUUAUAUAAUAUUAUUAGAGACAAAACCACUAUUUUGCAAAACAAACAAGGAAAGACUUCAUAAUUUGAAACUGACUUAUUGGAAGUCCACCUGAAGAUUGUCGAUCAAGACAAGAAACAAUUGUAGUGGCGGUUUUUUUGACUUUUUAUUAAAAUUUUAUGUAUUGAUUAAGUCUUUCCUUGUUUGUUUUGCAAAAUAGUGGUUUUGUCUCUAAUAAUAUUAUAAAUAUAUAUGUAUAUAUAUUUAUGUGUGUAUGUGUGUGUUUGUUACACACACCCCACCAUCGCUUGACAACCAAUGCUGGUGUGUUUAUAUCCCCGAAAUUUAACGGUUCGGCAAAAAAAACCUAUAGAAUAAGUACUAGGCUUACAAAGAAUAAGUCCUGGGGUCGAUUUCUUCGACUAAAGACGGUGCUCCAGCAUGGCCGAACUCAGAUGACUGAAAUGUAUAAAAGAGUAAAGAGUAUAUUGUUUGAAUUUGGAUCUGGAAUAUCCUCACCCCCGGUCACAAGUUCUCUAGGACAGAAGCCUCUCAAACAAAACCCCUCUUUUCAGACAAGCCUAACGGUUAAACAUUUGAUAAAAGUUUAAUAAAAGUGUUGUGCUAUAAAUGCAGUGGUGAUGUAGUGGUGAUGAUAACGAGAUGAUAUUGUGAAGAUGAUAUAUGACGAUGAUGAUGUGUGAGUGGUGGUGCUUUGCAAAUGAUAAGUUGGUGACAGGAAGGUGGUAUGUGGUGGUGAUGGUAUGUACUUGAGUUAAUUAUACUUUUGGGUGUUGUUUGCGAAAUUUAUGCUGUGUAGAUAAUUUUAUACAGAUGAUGCAGCAGUGUUACUGCAUGGGUAACUUUUUGGGGGCGUUGAUUUUGGCGGAGAUAUGUAGUUGAGUAAUGACACUCAAACGAUAUUGUGUGUGCAUGUGAGAAGGCGAAAUAUUUCGCUGAAGAGAUCUUAUCUAAGGAAACUUUUCUCUUAGAGGUUUUUCUCUUAAAGAGGAUGUACGUACACCUACUUUAAAAGUUUCUUUUGAAAUAUUAACAAAAACUAGACAAUUCUUCUAGACAGCCGAACACUUCCCUUCGGGAAGAGCCAUUUCUUUUCAUAAGGAGGCUAAGCAUUAGGCCUGUGCAACCUUAGCAAGUAUGAAUUGCGGAGAAUCUGAGUCCAAUUUAUUUGGAAAAAUUUCAACGUUCAUGAUACUUUGGGGUGGGGGCUUUGGGGUGAGGUCAAAAACUGCCGAGAAAGUGAAGUUUUUAGAUUACCCGUAUCCAUCAGAUAUUUCUCUCCAGUUUUAAUGGUACGAAGAGUAACUUCACUAACCAAUUUAAUUAAUGCUGUUCACUUCGCGCGCCCUAAAGAGAUUUUGAAACUGUUGGGGAUCUCCUGAAAUUUCUUCCAACUAUUUGAAGUAUUUCAAUUUUUUACCAGAUUCCAUUUUUUUUUCUUUGUUUUAAAAUUUUCUACGUUGACGUAGUUCGCAUGCUAAUGAUGAAAAUCGCGUUCAUUUUUCUCUUAAAACUACAUUUAAAAAAAAAAAAAUCUGAUGUAAAGUUGAAAUACUUCAAGUGAUUGGAAGAAAUUUAACAAGAUUCUGUUUUUGCCUUCGAGAAAAACAAAGCUAGGGUCACCAAUGACCGAGUGCGAGAAGCAAUUAAAACGAAUUUCCUGAAAUACGAGUUUCAAAUAAGAAUUUUUUGUCGGUUGUGAUUAUAUUCUAAAGCCUAAAUCAGUUUUACGGAAAGCAAAAUAUCUCAAAUGAAAUUAUGUAACGUUCAUGCACCUCACACAAUAGCAACACAAAUACCGAAGUAAAAUCGUUUAAUCUAUGGGUUUAAUCUAUGCCACAGCAGGAAAUGUAUCAGGACAUGAAAUGUAAAAGCCGGACUAGACUACUUUAUGCGCAAAUCCAUUGUCUCCCGAGACAAAAAGGAUGCCAACAACAUGGGUUUAAGCAUCUGGAAAUUUAAGGAACUGAAGACUACAUAUUUCGAAUAGUUCUGAGCGUGUGGCCAGUAACUGACCUUUGUUUGACUACUAUUGAGGUCAAGUAUAUCUUGAUUUCACACUCCUUGAAUGAUAGAUAUGUCAUGAUUCCAUGUUGACCACUAAUCACAAAACACCCUUUCUCUUUCAAACAAUUUAGUACUUGUCACUUUACACUUGCCAUGUUUAGGAAGCAGCUAGUUUAGCAGGUUGUUGUUGUUGCUGCUGCUGCUGCUGCUGCUGCUGCUGUUGUUGUUGUUGUUGUUGUUCUUGUUCUUCUUCUUCUUCUUCUUCUUCUUCUUCUUUUUCUUCUUCUUCUUCUUCUUCUUCUUCUUCUUCUUCUUCUUGUCGCUGUUUGAACCCAGGUCAGCACUGAGGGACCAACUUUAUGAUCAGCAGCAUUCUAGCCAUCAUUUUAAGAAUUAAAAAAAUUAGCUUUCCCAUAUAUAAACAAACUUUCGCAUAUAAACCGAAGGUCUUUGUUGUUGUUGCUUUACGCGAGAUUUGCCAAAUUUUGGUACGGUUAUUUUCAACACUCAUAAUGGGCAACAAUUAUUAAUGCAUAUUUAUCACAACCGUUAGAGAGAAGCUCUUUCAAGCUUCAUUUAAAUUAAUUUAUAAAUAACCAUCAUCCUAUUGCAUUAUAAUUUCCACUAGUUUACAUUAUUGCAUUUACAUAAGGGACAAUACAUCACAGUAAGGUUCCAUAUUUCUUGAAAUAAACAGCAAAUACAUUUUCUCUAUUUCGGUACCAUGAAAAAGUUGUCUAGAUAUAAUACGGUUUUAUUUUUUAACGAAGACCCUCAAAACCUCUGUAGCGUCUUUUGAGGAAACCGUGAUUUCUUACUAAGCCAUUAAGUUCAUCCUGGGAGAAUAGCAGUGAUUCAGUGUUGGGACACGUUAGAACAAAUUCUUCAUCGUCUACUUCCUUUGAGUGAUUUGAUGCAUAAGAUUACCGGAGUUCUGUUUCGACGGUCAUUCGGAAUGCUCACAGCAGCCAUAUUCCUACCGCUCUAUGUCACGCUGGUGAGACCCAUAUUGGAGUACGGGAUUCAAGCUUCUUCUCCUUAUCUCCUCAAAGACAUACAUCAUCUCGAAAGAGUCCAGAGGCUGGCUACCCGCAUGGUUUUUGGUCUCAAGCAUUUGUCUUAUGAAGAAAGGCUGAAGACGCUCGACCUUUAUUCUCUAGAAAAACGACGACACCGUGGUGAUCUCAUUCUUGCUCACAACAUCAUAAGCGGAAAGUGUAACCUCUCGAAAGAGCUGUUCUUCACUUCUGCUCCAGAGCGUCGGCUGCGGGGUUACUCCGAAAAGCUCUAUCUGCGACGAUUUCAUCUCAAUCGAAGGAGAGGGGCUUUCUCCGUCCGGGUUGCGGAUCUGUGGAACAAGCUGCCGGACGAGAUAGUGAAGAUGCCGACGACCGCUCGGUUCAAAGACUCUCUUGACCAGAAAUGGCCUGAACUCUUUGCAUGAACACCCUCCCUGUACAUAACUCCAUGUCCCCCUACAUGGCCUUGCUUUUUGCUUUUUGAGCCAAAAAAUUAACUUAACUUAAUUUAACUUAUUACCAGAUGGAGCAGAUCCCUACAAUCCUACAGAGGGAAGAUUAAGAAAAACAAUUCUUUCUGCUCCCUACAAACACGACUACGACUGUCUGGUUCUCCCCCAUGAUAUCAUUGGAAUACCAAAUGCAAGGGCGCACUUUUUACCUUUUGUUUAUUGUUUUAGUUCUCACAAAAAACAAUGGCAGGCACUGUGAGAGGCUCAGUUUUUGUCUGAAUCUCAAGUUAUAUUCCCAAAUUGGCGUAAUAAGCUCGCCCAAAUUUUUUUUAAACAAAAACUUUGUACUAUCACUACAAAUAAAUUGAAUGUUCAUACAACCUCCCCACACACGAUAUAAUCGUUAACAUUACAAUAAAAUUUCAAUUUGUCCUUCAAGAGAAAGCAAUCGCAAAAUGAAAAUAAUCUUUCAAUGCUAGAAAAGAAAUUAAUUAGCAUUGUAAUAAAAUAUUAAUACGUAAAUAAUUAUUUGCGUAUUAUUCAUAUUUUAUAAACAUUUCGCAUGUGUAAUUAUAAUUAUAUGUGCAAAAUACUGAGAGAAAAAAUCUAGCGCUAUUUAAAAAAAAAAAAUACUGCGUUGUUAUUUUAUGAAAUCAGUGCCCGAUAAUACACACACAUGUAUAUAUAUAUACGAAAGGCUUCUUUCAGUUUCCUCCUCUACCAAAUCCACUCACAAAGCUUUGGUCGACCCAAGGAUAUAAGAGAAAACACUUACCCCAGAUGUCACGCUGGGGAGGAACUGAACUCGGCACUGUGUGACUGGAAAGCAAACUUCUUACCACGCAACCACACCAAUUGUUUAUUAAGCCAAACACACUAAUUAUUAAAUCUUCCACACUAAUUGUUUAUUAAAUCAAAUUGCCAAGUCUCUCAAAUGAAGAUAGAUUUUCACCCUGAAAUAUUUUCCAAAUGAAUCGAGAUUCUUAUUAGGAAAGAGAUUGAGUUCUAAAAAAACAUACUUUUAAAGCAAAACCCCGCAGGGUAUUAAUACAAUAUCUAAUAAGAUAUUCUUAGGCAUGUGUCUGAUUUAAAACAGAUGUUCCAGCGAAAGGCUCUCUCUCUCUCUUUCUCUCAAUUUCUCACUUUCUCUCUCUCUCUCCCUCUCUCUCACGUUGCUCCUUCUCUCUCUCACUUUGCCCUCUCUCUCUCUCUCUCUCUUCUCUCUCUUUCUCUCACUCUCUCACUCUCUCACUUUCUCUCACUCUCUCACUUUCCCUCACUCUUUCACUUUCUCUCUCUCUCUCACUCCCGUUGCUCCUUCUCUCUCUCACUUUGUCCUCUCUCUCUCUCUCUCUCUCUAAUCUAUCUAUCUAUCUAUCUAUCUCCUCGUUUUUUCUGUCUCGUUUAUACAUCACCUUUUGGUGUUGAUAGUAUACAUUCUUAUGUAUGAAUAAAGAGGUGAUGCAUUCACACAACUUUACAGUGAGAUAUAUAUAUAUAUAUAUAUAUAUGUGUGUGUGUGUGUAUGUGUGUAUGUGUAUGUGUGUGUGUAUGUAUAUGUAUAUAAGGCAAUCUUUAUAUCUAUCUUAACGUGUAUGUUUUGUUAGAACGUUGAAUACUACGUUAUUUACUUUGUAAAGACCUCUCAUAUGGACGAACGGUGCAUAAAAGCAAACAUAUUUAUAUCGUUUGCAGACGGGAAUCGUCUGCUACGGGCGCCAGAUAGAGACUAUAUAUAUAUAUAUAUAUAUAUAUAGAGAGAGAGAGAGAGAGAGAGAGAGAGAGUCGUACAUAUACAUACAUUUACAUGCACACGUGCAGACUCGCAUGUAUUUUUACAUGUACACACCACUCACACAUAUAAGAAUAUCGAUAGGCUUCUGUCAGCUUCUAUAAUGAGUAUUCCAGUUGUUUCAUCGACUGAAACGUGCACCUAUUGUACAUGUGACUAAGUAUACUACAGACACAUGUACCGUGAACAUAAUACUCAAGUAGAAUCGUCGUGACAUAGUGUGACAAGGCUGGACCUUGGAAUUAUUGAUACAAUCACAAGAACUGAAUUCCACUGUUUCCAUCAACUCAGUUUCACAUCCUGUGACCUCAUGAUUGAAAAAUAAACUUUUCAGUUACAAGGCCGUAUGCACACAUGCAUCAUAUAUAUAUAUAUUCAUUAUACAUACAUCAUACGUACAUACAAGCAGCCUGUCAACAUGUAGACGAGUAUGCCCAUCUGUAACAAAUUAUUUUAUCCUAGAUAUUAAAGAAAAUGGCUUUCAGCAACGCCCGUGCUGAGAGCAAUACUCGUCCUGACACAAAAUCGCAAAGAUUCUCUCCGAAAAAAAAAAAAAAAGAAAGAAAAGAAAAGAAAGAAGUUCAGAAACAAGUAAGAGCGAGAUUUCCAACUUUACAAUGAGGCGGGUGUAUUUUGGUUUUUCAUUUUCCUACUGGAGAGAACCUCUCUAGUUGCUCUCACGUCCAGCCUUUUACUUUACUAAGGUCAUCCGUACUUUGACAGGUUUUUUUUUUCGUCCCACAGGAUUGUAACAUACAGCUUCCUCGAUUCUAAGCUAGGAUUCGAAACCGAAUUUACAUUUUACUAUCGGUUCCCUUCCUACUAUUCUUGGCUUUCCAUUUAGAAAUUUAUGAGUGUCAACUGACACAGUUAACAUUCUUGGGUUAAAUAGGAUUCAGGCAGAUAAGAGAUGGAAAUUCCUUUGUCUAGCUUGACCUAAUUUAGUUAGAGAAAAUAUAAAUACAGAACCCAAAUUCAGUUCUUCCUUCUUUCUUUUGGCGCCGAUGGAUGAGGCACUUUAAGUGAGGGACUAUACAACUUUUACGCUCUUUCUUUCUCCUUUUGCCACCACUCUUCUAGCAGUCACUCAUAGAUGAAGUUAAUUACCUACAGAAUAAGGAAGGGCCAUUUUAACUAAUAUAUUUUCUUCUUAUCUCUUUGAUACAUACAAACCGUUACAACGAAACCCAUCUUCCUUAUCAAACAGGCAUCGUUGCCGGUUUAAUCUCCGACGGUUCGACCAUGCAACGGGUUGUUCUGGGUUGAGAGAACAAAUUCCAUCGCGCUAGAGGCGUGAAUGGCUUCUUUAUGGGAUCUGUUCUUUUUUCCCUCUUGUUUUACCCCUGCUUUUUAAUAUCUCUUUACGGAACACUCAUUUUCACCCCAAAAUAACAUAAUCUCCAAGUCUUUCUCUGGACUGGUUGUUAUAUAUUUUACUACGUUGAGGAGGUUUAAUGUGACUAAACAUGUCCAAAAUUGUCUCAAUAGCUACUAAAAUAUCAAACCCAAAUCCUUGUAAAUAUCUAUUUAACUUUAAGUCAAAUAUAUAUAUAUAUAGGCGCAGGAGUGGCUGUGUGGUAAGUAGCUUGCUUACCAACCACAUGGUUCCGGGUUCAGUCCCACUGCGUGGCAUCUUGGGCAAUGUCUUCUGCUAUAGCUCCGGGCCGACCAAUGCCUUGUGAGUGGAUUUGGUAGACGGAAACUGAAAGAAGCUUGUCGUAUAUAUGUAUAUAUAUGUAUGUGUGUGUAUAUGUUUGUGUGUUUGUGUUUGUCCCCCUAGCAUUGCUUGACAACCGAUGCUGGUGUGGUUAUGUCCCCGUCACUUAGCGGUUCGGCAAAAGAGACCGAUAGAAUAAGUACUGGGCUUACAAAGAAUAAGUCCCGGGGUCGAUCUGCUCGACUAAAAGCGGUGCUCCAGCAUGGCCGCAGUCAAAUGACUGAAACAAGUAAAAGUUUCGCGUCACACAUGCCUUUACACCUUUGCUGAUCAAAGUUUCAUGUCAUGUGCGCUCAAUAAUGUGAAAAUGAGAUGAUUCAUCUCAAUAUUGUAUGACUGAGCAUGUGUGAUGCGAAACUUUGUGAAAAUACAUUCUAUUUUGAAUACAUACAUACAUACAUACAUACAUAUAUAUAUAUAUAUAUAUAUAUAUGUGUGUGUGUGUGUGUGUGUGUGUGUGUGUGUGUGUAUGUGUGUGUGUGUGUGUGUGUGUGUGUGUGUGUGUGUAUAUAUAUAUAUAUAUAUAUAUAUACGUACAUACAUACAUACAGACAAAUGCACACAGAUGCUUAUAUAUUGUUCUACCGAUUCUGGAAGCACCUACAAUUUACAAUACACCUUGAAUUUAUGUUGUAUGCCACUGAUAUGUUGUUAUUCCACUCAGUUUCGCCGCCAAGCAAUUUUUCUAAUGUCUCUGGAAGCGGAGAUAAUUUCAAUAAAUCAAAAAUUUAUCUUGCAUGAUAUUUGAUAUACACUUAUUCGUCUUUAUGUGUAUGUGCAUGUGUGAGAGAUACUUAAAUAUUGCAACUUGUUUAUACAUUUACAUGUUUAUUCUUUUCUCUCUCCAAACUUAAGCAGCUGGAUAGUAAUCAUAGUAAACUGAAGUAAUUAGUUACAUAAGCAGUGUUGAUACUAAGCAAGAAAGAGAGUAAAAGGAAUAGCCAUUUGUUGAAAUUGCUGGAUUGGAGCUAGCAUUAUCGUGUAGGUUUCAUUUCAAAACGUAAAAAUAAGGUUUCUCAAAAAAACACCAAAUCAUCUUCUCAUCUCCUUUCUCACAGCCAAAUUUAUAUAAAGAAUUGUAGUUGAUCUUGUUGGGUCGGAGUCAUAAAUACCGAAUGGAGAAUUCACAGUUCGUAUCUCACCAACGGCGUAGCACACUACCCAUGAAUAAGACAUUUGACCCUUAUUUUUGCAUAGUCGUGUAACUGUAAAUAGAUGCUAGGAAACAGGUACGGCUCAUUGUUGUAAUGAGAAGGAGCAAUAUGUCAUUAACGAGUGCUUUAUUCUCCUACAGUUCUGAGAUCCAGUUUUUCCAAGGAUUUCGGGAAUCCUCUUAAGAAUAUUCUUCUAUGCAAAAGCCUUUUUAAACACUUGCAAAUUUCUGGAAGUCUUAUUCGUUCUGGAGGAUGAUUUAUCAAAAUGGCUCCGUUAUGUUUUGCAGAAAAACUCCUUGAAAGAAGAGUUCAAAUGUCUUAGAAAAGAAUUAAAGGUGGUGAUGUAAGUGAAUGGCUUUAACUGGGAAUGAAAAUCGCAUUGAUUGUCUCAUCUUCACACACACACACAUACACACUCGCGCGCGCACACACAAACACACACAGACUAAUUUAUUUUUCGCGGUCGUGAAACAUAAUGGCGAGUAACUUGACAGAUACGACAGAAAGUGGAUUCUAAAGAAUUACUGGAAAUCUGGAAGUGUUGAAACAGAAACAGUACACCAGAAUUGGGCAGAAACCUUCCUCAUUGAUCCGCCACCACGACAAUCAAUUUACAAGAUAAGGGACAAAUUCGAGAAAACAGGUUCUGGUGUUGGAUUUGCUCUGAAGAAUUCAUUUUAUCCUCGAUUGCAGAAUUUCCAAGUGGUAUAUCUGAACGAACCAUGUCAUGUUGUACAAAACUGACAGAAGGCAGGUUUCUUACCGUUGUCAGUAUUUAUGCACCAAAAAUGUCUCAUUCUGAUGAAACUGUAGGACAGUUUUAUGAUGAUCUAGCACAAUUAUUGAAGAAAGUACCAAGUUCAGACAAACUAGUCAUAUUGGGAGAUUUCAACGCAAGCGUUGGAAAGGUCUAUGUUUCAUGACAUGUUUUGGGCCGUCAUGUAAUAAAAAUGGAGUAGCUCUUUUGACGUUUUGUACUGAGAAUAAUAUGGUUGUUACCAACACUCUGUUUAAGCAGAAAAAUAAAUAUAAAACACCUGGAUGCACCCAAGAUCUAAGAACUGGUAUCUCAUAGAUUAUAUUUUGAUCAGAAAGCGUGAUAUGAAAGAUUUUUCAAGUGUUCGGUCCAUGAGAGGAGCAAGGAGCUGAAUUUUUCGAUAAUGCCUAAAAGUCGACAGUCUGGUCCUAAGGUACCCAAAAAGUUAAAUGUUGCAAACUUCAAAUUAUCAAGCAACUUGCAAAGAUUCCAUGAUGCUAUAGAAAGUAUCAAUCUUGAUCCAAACAAUCUAUGGGAAGAUUUCAAAACAAAAAUAUUUCAGGCUGCAAGUUCUUGAAUAUGAGGGUGACAAAAUGUUUGAACUCUUAAAUAUAUUAAUUUGUCACUAUUGGAGAACUGAAGAAGCGCCUCAAAACUGGAAUGAUGCCAAUUUAGACUCCUUGUAUAAAUCGGGGCCAAAUGAUCGGUGUGGUAAUUUUCAUGGAAUUUCGCUUUUGUCUGUAGUUGGAAAGGUACUAUAAAUACCUUCAUAGUUCCAAAUAUAGUGUCUGAGUCUCAAUGUGGUUUUCGCUCCUCCAGGGGCAUAAUUGAUUGUAUCAUUAGUAUCAGACAAUUUCAGGAAAAGUGCAUUGAACAGAAUCUUGCUCUAUAUCACUGCUUUGUUGAUUCAAGCAAGGCAUUUGAUACUGUUAAUCGAAAUGUUCUGUGGCUAAUUCUAAGGAAAAUAGGUUGCCCUGAAAAAAUUGUAAAUAUGAUUAGGGGUUUGCAUCAAGAUAUGAAGGCUAGAGUUAAUUUUGGUGGUAGGCUUUCUUAAUCUUUUGCCGUGAAAAACUCAAGAGAGAUUUAAAGAAGAAUGUUGCGAUCAACGAGAAGGUAAAUCUCAGCGACCUUUUUGUGCGCACAGUCUGUGGCAUAUCACGCCUUUUUUUUGCUGGACUCAAAUCUCAUUUGCGGACCCAUGAAAAACGAACCGCCACCAACUACUCUGCCUAUAUAUCUGUGCACACCUUUCAAUGCUGCGUAAGCCAUAAGAUCUGCAAAUCUAACGGAGGCUUCAAAAGAUAUUUUAAGAUCCACAAAGAUCAGAACUUAACUGCAGCUCAUGGUGGUCCAAAUCAGAUAUGCAAUCUAUGUGGGUGUCUUUUAAUACAUUGUUUGGUUUUAAAAGCCACAUCAAACACCACGAUGGAUCUAAGGCGUAAGUACAAGAGGUGGUCAGACUCUGCAUAAGGAGUAGAUAACCACCAAGACCUGUAGGUCUUCUGAAUAUUUAAUUAGCCAUACUUAGUUAAACGCGAGCUCAAGAAUAAUACUGGUGCUACUUAUCCAUCUUUUAUUUAAUAUUCGAUUGACUGAAAAAUAUGUAAAAACGUUUCACAAGAGAGGUGUUACUGUUACGUGUCAAGUUGUUCAUUUGAAACAGCAAAAUCAUUUUAACAUUUUAACAAACUACAUACUGUUGAAUUUUAAAGCUUACCAAAAUCAGCCAUGUCUUCAUUCUACGACUUUAUUCCAAGUAAUCGCAACUGUUGCUGCAUGCUUGUAUGUGAAAAGGAAGCGGAUUCCAUUGAUAAUUGAAGAGUAAAACGAGAUAUCACAGCGUUUGGAUUGUGGGGAAAAGGCAUAAAAAAAUCUACACAAGCCUACAACAUCGAAAAAGCAGCAGUGUCUAAUAUCAAGAAAGCAAGACCAGCGAGUGAGAAAAUCAACAAGCAAAAUGGCACUUCAUAUGGAAGUUUUCGCAGCAGCAUGAAAAGGGGACUUUAGUCUCUGGCUUGAUGUUACAACAUAAAGCUACUAGUUGCCAAGAACGAAUCCACGCCAGUGAAGCACAACAAAAGUCUGAUCACAGCGUAUCAUCUGCAUUUCAAAAAUUUUCAAUGCUUUAGACACCUAUGUGUGAGAGUAGCAUGGAAAUACGAGAGCAUCAUUGAAGAUUUUAGACAGAAACCACAAUCCAUCAUCUGUGAAGAAAAUCAUGGACUUAAACACCGGCGCAAUUCUGAUGGUAGUGAACUGUUUUGAUGUAUAUGGCCGGGCACAUGAAUUGUGACCAUAGAAGAAAAGAAGGUAUUGAGACAUAAAGGAUCGAUAGAUUGUUUUACGAUUUUUUCCUUGUAGUAAUGUCAAUAGCACUCAUAAAUCACAGCUUGUUUGAAUCAGAAUAUAUUAUGCUAAUAUACAUUACAUUGUUUCCCGUGAAGCAAAAAAUCUCAAAACAGUGUAUCGAUGACGUAUACUCUUUUCUCAUCUUCCGAAAGAAUUUUUACUUACCUUCUUAUAACAUUUAGUAAAUGUUGGACAAAUGCAACAUUCCUUCACUUUGUUGAUAAUGAGAGGUCAGACAGUUUGAAAAGCAGCCAGACAGAGCUGUCAAAUAUUUGGUUUUUACUACCAAACACCAUUUCAGUGCGACAGCCAAAAGAUGAAUCAUCAUGACAGCAAAGAAGUAUAUUAUUGCAGUAUCGGGUUAGUACUAUCGUGCAUGAAGACACUGCAAACAAAGGAUUGCAUCAGCUUACACUACGUAACAAAUGUAAAAAUUUUUGCUCACCGUGAAUUUUUUCAGUCUAGUACUAAACUUAAGGCACCGAUUUCAAAAUGCUAUUUAUUUCCCUCUACCCGCUGUUGUUCGACAGUUCCUUACAUUGCCGCAAAUAGACAUUCACCACCUUCAUAUUUACAGUCGUAUUUUCCCGUUUUCAGAUUGUUUUUAGCGUUGUGAAUCUUAACCUUGUAGAAUAUUGCAAGUUGUGAAUACAAAAGUCUGCCAGAUACAUUCGUGAAUAAUAUGUUGGGACUAGUAGACAUCACAUAAAAUUUUGAAAAGUACUAAAUUCUGUACUUUGGAAUAUUUGAUGAUAAUUAAGUCAGGCCCUGGCCCUCUUAUAUAGCAUGAUGAAGCUACUGAUGUUCUCUAAAAGGAAUAAGAGGUGUAAGAAAAGCUAUAUAUAUUGGCUGUUGUUAGAAUAUGGAGUGAAUCGAAGAACCACCAAAGUGAUUGCUAUUUCUGCAAGCUUGCGUCUCACUGAGUCAAAAACUGAGCAUUUAACAAUCAUGAUAAAAAGUAAAAUGAAAUUUAAUUGGGAGAGACUGCAGGACUUUAGUGUGCAGGGAAAGGUAUGCACGAUUUGCAAUUUACUUUGAUGUUAAUGGAGAUAUGUGCUACUGCAAAAGUGUGAUUGGUUUGUUUAUUACUUUUGGAGAGAAGGGAUACCCCUUGGGGUUGAGACUGUCUAUAUGAAGCUCAAUUUGAAGCCACAAAGUAGUUUUUUUCCCAAAUAGACACCGAUAUCUAUCUCUAUCUGCUACACAUUUGCAGCAAAUUAAAGACUACAAAAAUGUUAAACUGCUAUUUGACAAUAUUGACUAUAGAAGUAGAUGUGUGGUGCAACGAUUUCAAGAAACUUACUCUUAUGACUGGUUUUCAAUCUAGAUAUGUGUGUGUGCGCGCGCGCGUGUUGUUUUGUUAUUCCCACUUUAUAUCAUAAAAUUGUAAUUGGUAAAAUAUUUUGUAAAGAUCUAAAAAUUUCGAAAAGCUUCAUAAGAAAAUCGACUUAUGUUUUCGAAACUCUCUGAUACCAAAAUCAAAGGUACUAUAUUUGUUGGACUGCAAGUAAAUGCAAGUCCGAAAAACUUGAAAGGUAAAAAGUAAAGUCGAAAGGUGUACAUUUUGUGGUGUGGUUCAUGGAUUUCCAAGGAGUCACAAAAUUCCUCACUAUAUACCUUUAAAAUUAUACUUAUUACAUUCGCAUCUUGAUUUUUCCCGUGAAAAUUUAAGUGACAUCAGUGAGGAGAACUGCGAAAGAUUUCACCAAAAUAUUGCACCUCUGGAUAAAGGUUCCAAGGCCUCUGUGACAUUGGAUAGGAGACUAUUAUAUGGUUUCUGGUUAGAAAAGGUGCAUAAAAGAAAAAUGCAAUCCUCAAAGCACUUUGAAUUUAAUCUUUAAGUAUCUUGAAUUUAUUUAUUUGGAAAAGUUUAAGCAAACAUUAACAUUCUUAUAUUACCAAUUAUUUGUUAAGUAAUUUUAUUUGGAAAAAUUAAUAUUAAGUUACAAGGUUGUAAAUUAUUAGUGAGUUACAGGUAACUUCAACAUUAAUGGAAAUGUAAAACGUUACCCGGUUUCUGUGGCGUAUGUGUUCCCCCCAGCUGGACGGGGCGCCCGUCCAUCGCAGCGUUACUCAAGAAACAGGAAGAGAGAGUGAGAGAAAGUCAUGGCGAAAGAGUACAACAGGGGUCGCCACUAUCCCCUGCUGGAGCUUCGUGGAGCUUUUGGGUGUUUUCGCUCAAUAAACACACACAACGCCAGGUCUGGGAAUCGAAACCGCGAUCCUCCGACCGCGAGUUCGCUGCCCUAACCACUGGACCAUUGCGCCCACACAAUGGAAAUGUAGACAAGAAAAUGUUUGAGUAAAUUAAACAUUAAGUGAGUUAAUUUUUCUUUCAAUGCAGGGAUAAAAAUAAAGCCAACACCUAUGCCUGUUUGAAGAUUGCGCUAUAUAAAGAUGACAUACAAAACUUAAAUUAUUUCCGAAAAUAUCGAAGAUAGGUGGAAACAAAGAUCAUUUUAAAACUCAUCGCCAAAAGAAAAAUACUGAUAGACAUACGCAGUAAACCAAAUAUGUGUUAUCAGUUAUUAUUAAAUGAUUCAUAAUCAAGGAUCUUUUAUUUAUCAAACAAUCGACCCCAUUAAACAAUCGACAGUCACAUGGUGUCGGUACAAUGACUUGAGUUUUUGGAACUGUGAUAGUGAAGAGGACAUUCGUCAUUAAAGCCACUGAGAACUACACAUAACCAGAAUUAUGAGGUUUCUGGAAACUGAAGUUGAUGUUUGUGUAAGCCAUGAUAACGACAACGGAAGAGACACUCAGCAAUGGACAGAUUAUCAACAUUGUCACAGAGAAACAGUAGGAAAGUAGAGAUGUUUUGAGUGAUGAUGAAACUCAGAUAUUGAGACUUCCUCUGAUCUCAUGAAGAAAGCUACUGGAAUAUGGAAGCACGAGACAAAGUUAGUGCCGUUAAGUUGAUGCAUGAGUGUAAAUGUUACCGAUGACAAAAACAAAGGAGCACAAGCACGUCAGUCUAUAAUGACUGGAUAUUUUCUUCUCAAAAUGUAACCAAAUUCUACCUCAAUAAAUUUUAUCUAUAUAAUAAAUCUGUGGACUUCUUUUUUUUUUCUUGUAAUUUGGUAACGUUUCCUCAUCUUUUGAGCGCCAUAUUUUUGUUACUUAACGUUCUUUUAUUAGUAGAAUAUCAAGAAUUACGAGCAAUAUUCAUUGUUUGCACGCAUUUUAUUGAUUGAAUAACAUGAAAACUCUGGAAAUAUCUGUUUUUUACGUAAUGCUCAGUGUUGGAAAUUACUGAUAGGCACCAUAAGUACGAUAAAGUUCAUGAUGCUAAGGUUGGGAAGGUGAGAUUAGGCACAAUAAGCCAACCCUCUCCAUAGCUGAAAAAUAGAACGCUGUACCUUUGCGUUCCCACCACAUUUCCAUCAUGGAUUCCUUUACUUCUUUCUUUUUUUUUUCGAUACAAUAAUUUAUUCAAACAAAAUAUUUUCCUCACGUUUCGUUUGGAUAACUGAGGGCUAACUGUAUUCCUAAUCAGCGUCACAAUAGUCUCUUUAUAUAUAUUUUUAACACUCUUAGACUUACCAACUGUGUAUAACAAUGCUUCGCUAAGGUGCUUUGACCAUUUUGUUUCAUAGCCAACACUACGCCUAACCAGUAUUUUCUUAUAUUUUCCAAAAUUUCAGCUAAUUGAUUAUAUUGUAGUUAUUUCAUUUUGCUUUUAGAUCUUAAACAUUCCUGGUGGCAGAUUUUGUCAACUAAAUCCAGGGGCAAUCACAGUUAGUUGAACACUUAUAAUUCACUGUAUUACAUUUGAGAGACCCAAUUAUGUCUGGGUUUAGGAUGCAGAAGAUGCAUGUUCUUCUGACAAAUGUAUAUUGUUGUUAUUUAACCCCAGGUUGGCACAGAUCCAGCAGACCUAUGAUCAAUCGAAAUCAAGCCGUCUAUUUUUCAAACAAAGGAUCUGGGAUUACAUAUUCACUCAAUCCUUCUUUUAGUCGAGAUGGCAUAUGUGAUUUGAAACAGAUUUGACUACUAUAUCUAGGAUACAGGGUGAAGUAUACAGGCUGCACUUGUUAGGUUGCAAAUGUAUGAGGAUAAUUUAAUAUGUAAUAGCAGCAUUUAUACUAUGUAAUUACAUUUGAAUUCAAUUUAUGAAUUAACGAAACGACUUUAUUUCAAAUUAAAAGACUAAGUUGUUAAGGAAGUCUAUAAAAUGUGUAAUGACGCAGAGUUGACUUCCCUUCUUAACAUUAAUUCUUUCAACGAUCUUGACUAAUUAGACCACAAAAUGCUUAUUUAAGCUGUCUGCUAAUAAGUCAUUAGUUUCACGGUGUUCCCUCUGAGUGUUAUUUAAACCAAAUGUUAAUUUUUUUAAUGAAUUGCUUGACUCUAACAUGUCGGUAGUUACUUUUCUAAAGUUUCUCUAAUUAUUAAUUAACACCCGAUUCCAACUGUUGUAUGUAUGUAUGUAUGUAUAUGUAUGUAUGUAUGUAUGUAUGUAUGUAUGUAUGUAUGUAUGUAUGUAUGUAUGUAUGUAUGUAUGUAUGUAUGUUGUAUGUAUGUAUGUAUGUAUGUAUGUAUGUAUGUAUAUAUAUAUAUAUAUAUACGUAUGUGUAUGUGUUUGUGUGUGUUUCUGUGUACGUGCGUGUGUGUUUGUAUGUGUGUGCGUGCGUGCGCGUGUACAUAUACAUGAUUGAAAAGGUUGAAUUAGUUCGCUUCGCAAUCUUGAGUAGUUUUUACUUCUACGUCGGCUCGACCCCUGGCUUGUACGUGGACUUAAACUGUGCAAAAGCGCUUCCGACUGAUUGCACUUUGUUACGCUCUAUGCCAGACUGAUUCGUUAAGGCCAGUGUCACUGAUAAUUGUUAAGCCUCUUCAUCCCGAGAGAACACUUUAGCAGGCGUGAUUUCGUUUGAAAGACGCAAAAGUUGGCGGCCACAUGGAUCUGUGUUUACGGAUUGUUAAUUAGCAGAAACAUCAUUAUUUUUAGUCGUAACACAAAGUUAUGUGACCGUCCGCUUUUACUUCUUCCAGAGGUUAUCAGACAAUAGUCGUUGAACCGCCGCACACUUUCCGUCUACCAAAUUUCAUUUACAAAUGUUUUCAUCAAGAAAUCGAAGCAGUAGAUGAUGACAUUUACCCAAGGUGUCGUGCAAUGCUACCGAACCUGAAACCAAAGCCAUUGGCAUGUCUACAUAUAGUAAUGCACAUGUUUUAACAAAUAAGGCGGUACGUUAACAACGAUUGAAACACCUUCUGAUAAAGGGCAAUAUCCUACAAAAGUGCAACUGUCGCAUAUAUUCUUAGAAUAAUACUUUUGAGGGAUAGAAAGCAAUAGGGGCGGAGAGAUAAAACGUAACGAAUUCUAAGAGUUUUCUCGCCAUACACCUCUUAUACAGUUACUUAUAACUUAAUCCGUUUAGCAAAUCAUUUUAAGCAAAGUUUUAACAUAUAAGGAUGAAAUAGAGGGAUGGGCCAUCUGCUCAUACGGGCGAGUAAAGACGCUCUGAAAGAGAUGGGGGUGACGUGAGAUGGGUACAGAGGAAGGCAUAGUAGAGUAAAGGUGGGAGGAGGUCGUAGCUGAAUUAGCAAGCUAAUAUAAUACGCUGUCUGACGAAACUACAUGUAACUUAAAUUUGUGAUAUAUUAUAUAUGUAUAUGUAUAUAUAUAUAUAUAUAUAUAUAUAUAUAUAUAUAUAUACAAUUAUAAACAAGGGCUAAAGAAGAAAGAUUUCUAUACCAAUAUGCUGAGAAUAGACUUUAAAUAUUGGCAUAGAAAUCUCUUUUCUUUUGCCCUUGUUUAUAAUUGUUUAUAAUUUUCACCUUUUAAGGUAUUUUUAAUAUGCUGGCCACUUUGAUGAAAUUUAAAAAAAAAAGUUAUCCUAUAUUUGAAGUAAAUUUAUAUAUAUAUAUAUAUAUAUAUAUAUAUAUGUAUAGGUAUAUAUAUAUAUAUAUAUAUAUAUGUAUGUAUGUAUAUAUAUAUAUAUAUAUAUAUAUAUAUAAAACAAUUGCAGCGUGGGAGGUGUUUAUAAGCCAUUUAAGAAACACACUAAAGCCGUUCGAUUCCGCGACCUGUUCACUGACAAAGUCCGUGCUGCAGCACGGACUUUGUCAGUGAACAGGUCGCGGAUUUUAGCGACGAAAAUAUUUUGACAAAUUAAACUUAAAUGUUGGAGUGAAUCGAACGGCUUUUGUGUGUUUCUUAAAUGGCUUAUAAACACCUCCCACGCUGCAAUUGUUUUCGUUUCAGCACACGAUCUCAGAUCAAAUUACUUGCUAUGCGAGUACAUCUCCGUAAUAUAUAUAUAUAUAUAUAUAUAUAUAUAUAUAUAUAUAUAUAUAUAUAUAUAUAUAUAUAUAUAUAUAUAUAUAUAUAUAUAUAUAUAUAUAUAUAUAUAUAUAUAUAUAUAUAUAUAUAUGUAUGUAUAUAUAUAUAUAUAUAUAUAUAUAUAUAUAUAUAUAUAUAUAAGUAAGUAUGUAAGUAUGUAUGUAUGUAUGUAUGUAUGUAUGUAUGUAUGAAUACACACACACACACACGUACAUACAUAAAGAAAGACAGAUGGACAGAGAAAGAGAGGGGAGCAAGAUAGACAAAGAGAAUUUAUGAUGUAAAAUUAUAUAUAUGUACAUAAUGUAUAUAUGUGUGUAUAUCUGUAUGUAUAUAUAUGAUGAUGAUGAAGGAUCGUUCUUUAUGUUACUUUUCCUGUUUUCCCUUCGUUUCUCUCGUUAUGUAUUCAACUCUUGUUUUCGCGUUUCAUGUUUACGGUUUGUGAGUUCUGUACUCAUAUAUGCAUAUAUACAUAUGUGUGUGUGCAUGCGUGUACAUAUACAUAUAUGUAUGUAUAUCUAUUAUUUAUAUUAUUAUUUGAUUGAACGCCGCGCAUCCAUUUCCAGGCAAGUUUAUCUUAAUAUUUUUGAUGCAACUCUAUCCUUUACUGUUCUCUCUCGCCCCCUAUCGCUUUCUCUAGUUCUUUUUUUCUCCCCUUCACCAUUUUUUGUCUCUCUCUCUCUCUCCUUCCCUCUUUCUCCUUUCAUUUUUUCUCUCGUUGAUUACACGUGACCAUCAUCCAUCUUUCUUUUCCUCACGUGAUGAUCCUUCUUUUCCUUCACGGUUGUCGUAGAGACUGCACGUAUCCCAUCUGUCUCCCUCUUCUAUAUUUCUUCUUGUCAAAGAGAAUAUUUCUGCAGCUUCCACUAUUUUACCAUCGUCUGGUCUAACGACCCUCCAUGUUUGUUUUCGUUCGGUUUCCUUGUAUGUUUCCACUGUCCUGUUUUUGAUACCAACUUUGACUUUCCGCAAAUCCCAAACUUUAUUUCCGUUUGCGGAAGCAACUGCCUUUCGAAGACUUAUAUUGCUGUUCAAUGCUCGAAAUGAGGAGUAGAUGGACAGCCGACAACUGAUGAAGGAUCGUUCUUUAUGUCCUGUUUUCCCUUUGUUUCUCCCGUUGUUUAUGUAUUCAACUCUGUUGUUUUCGUAUUUCAUGUUAUUUACGGUUUGUGACAUCCUGUACCCAUAUAUGCAUAUAUAUAUAUAUAUAUAUAUAUAUAUAUAUAUAUAUAUAUAUAUAUAUAUAUAUAUAUAGGCGUAGGAGUAGCUUAGCUUGCUUACCAACCACAUGGUUCCGGGUUCAGUGCCACUGCGUGGCACCUUGGGCAAGUGUCGUCUACUAUAGCCUCGGGCCGACCAAAGCCUUGUGAGUGGAUUUGGUAGACGGAAACUGAAAGAAGACUGUCGUAUAUAUGUAUAUAUAUGUGUGUGUGUGUAUAUAUGUUUGUGUGUCUGUGUUUGUCCCCCAACAUCGCUUGACAACCGAUGCUGGUGUGUUUACGUCCCCGUAACUUAGCGGUUCGGCAAAAGAGACCGAUAGAAUAAGUACUAGGCUUACAAAGAAUAAGUCCUGGGGUCGAUUUGCUCGACUGAAGGCGGUGCAAGAGUAAGAGUAUAUACGACAGGCUUCUUUCAGUUUCCAUCUACCAAAUGCACUCACAAGGCUUUAAUAGAAGACACUUGCCCAAGGUGUCACAUAGUGGGACUGAACCCAGAACCAUACAGCCACGCCUGCGCCUAUACGUAUAUAUAUGUACGUGUAUAUAUACUGGCUCGGUCAUAUAUGUAUGACUGAAUGUAUGUUUGCAUGUAUAUAUAUGUGUGCAUGUAUACUUGUUCUUAUGAACAGUUAUAUAUAAGAACAAUUAGGUAUUAAUUGUACAAUCACUCUAUAUUUAAAUAGAGUAUCACAUUUAUUUUUGCAAGAUAAGUUGAGAGUGACUUCGAAGUUUCGUUUCAGUUAGCUUUGUCAUAGAAGUGCAUGCAUACACACACACAUACACACACACACAAACACACACACACACACACACACACACACACACACACACACACACACACACACACACACACACAGAGGGAAAAUAAGUCAAGGCAGAAAAUGCUAAAAUAAUUUUAUCCUGAAAAACAUUUUAGUACCGGUUUCAGUCAUUGAGACUUUUUCAACACGAAGUAUGGAAAACAAUUAUAUUGUGGGAAAAUUAAAUGAAAAGUUUUUUAAAAAAUAUUUUCAUAGCAUUCAAAUACAAGGAGCAUUUUCCUUGUUUCUCCCUCCCCCUCUCUCUCUCUCUUUUACAGUUGUGUAUUCGAAGUAGUUGUGAAUUCUUGUUGUGAAUUCACAAGAAAUGGGAGGAGGUCGCACACGAUCGUCCAACUGGAGACAAAUACUGCGAAAGGAAGAAAAACAAGAACUCACCAUCAAAGAAAAGUGCACUCGACGGAAAGAAAAACCAGUAGCUCCGGCAGAAAGCUCUUUCAAAUAUAAUCGCUGUAUGCUUGACUGCCACUCCCAUGUGGGCCUGUACAGUCACAGCUGACACAAUUCCUUCGGGCACAGAUCCAUAUAUAUAUAUGCUAUAUAUAUAUUUAGAGGGCGGCGAGCUGGCAGAAACGUUAGCGCGCCGGGCGAAAUGCUUUGCGGUUUUUCGUCUGUCGUUACGUUCUGGGUUCAAAUUCCGCCGAGGUCGACUUUACCUUUCAUCCUUUCGGGGUCGAUAAAUAAAGUAUCAGUUUCGCACUGGGGUCGAUGUAAUCGACUUACUCCCUUUGUCUGUCCUUGUUUGUCCCCUCUAUGUUUAGCCCCUUGUGGGUAGUAAAGAAAUAUAUAUAUAUUUAGAGAGAGAGGGAGAGAGAGAGAGAGAGAGAGAGAGAGAUGGAUGGAUGGAUGGAUGGAUGGAUGGAUGGAUGGAUGGAUGGAUGGAUGGAUGGAUGGGUAAGUGUGUAUAUGUAUGUGUGUGUGUGUAUGUAUGUAUGAAUGUAUGUAUGUACGUAUGCAUGUAUGUAUGUAUGUAUGUAUGUAUGUAUGUACGUAUGCAUGUAUGUAUGUAUGUAUGUAUGUAUGUAUGUAUGCAUGUUCUCUUUAGCUUUUUAAUCUGAAAUAAAUUUUGACCGGUCGCCUGCUUGGUAGCAAGGUUGUGAAGGAAAGCAUCUUAUUUUUCUCAUCACCCUUUAUAUCUUAAGAAGGUUUGCAGAUUUUUAUUGACCCGUGAUCAUUUGUAGUGUAUGGAUUAAAGAUUUGUGUUUUCUCCGGAAGUCCCAAGUUCAGCCAUACUUUUCUCCAGAUGAGUUGGUAUGUAUCUUGCUUCGUGUGUUGGGUACAAAGCUGAAAAUAUAUCUUGGGUACUGGGUUUUCAAACUCCUUGUCAAUGAUUCAUAGAUGUCCUCUUUCUCUUCUGUUUUUCUAUCCACACUGAUGUCCAGAGGACAGCCGAUUUCCACAAUAGAACAUAUAUUUUCCUUGUGGUCACACACAACAAUAUCUGGCCAGUUGUGUUUUAACUUGGUGGUUUUAAUUUUUAAAUUCUACUAAUAUACUUUUGACUCAUCGGUCUCAAUAUAGUCAGCUUCGUCUGUAGGUGUUUUCUUUUUUGUUCUCCUGAUCCAGAUUGUUUUGGCCACCUCAUCAUACUUCAUGGGAAGAUAAUAUCUGGAAUACUUUCUCUUACAGUUGUCAAUAAUCUGGUUGAUGUUUUCAGUCUUGGCCUUGCCCAGCCUACAUUUGUGUCAAUGUUUUCUGCCUUUUAUGUUGUAGAUAUUUGGUGGGGGCGGGGGUCUUUUGUUCUUGAAUUGCAUGGAGGUAGCCUUCGAAGUGAGAUGUCAUAAAUUUGUCGGUACUUCAUGAUAAAAUUUUGAUAUCAUCAAUCCCUUCAAUGGUUUAUGUUUUUCGUUCCAAGUACCAUGUACUAUCAGUGGUCCAUUUUUUAUAUCUUCUCAUAGAUAGAUUUUACCAAUGCUCUUUAGUCUUCUAAUUAUGUUGCUGAUUUCAUUGUCAAACUCGGGCAAGAGAAUUACAGAUCUCUUUCUUUUGCCGUUCAUUUUUUAGAUUUUUAGGAGAGGGCAAUGUACAUUUAGACUCACCAAAUUUCAUUCCAAUGUUAUUGAUACAGUUAAAGAAGUACCAGUUGAGCACUGGGGCCGAUGUAAUAAACUUAUUCAAUAUCCUAUAACUGCUGGCCUUGUACCAAAAUUUGACACCAUUAUUAUAUCUUUGCUGUUCUAUCCCCUAUUUCCCUAGCACAGCCAUUAAGUUACCCUUCGACACUUAGAAAGAAAAUGAAAACCACUUAGGAUUUUAUUAUAACUUAGUUACAUGGAUGUUUUAAAGAUGUCUUUUAAUACACAAACAGUUAUGGUGUCAGAGUUACACUUAAAGUUAGGAUUAAGAUGAGCCUCUUAUAUUCUCAAGUAUAAUAACCGACAGAAAUUAAAAAGUUAAGUGAUGGCGGAUAUUGUCAAUUUUCCGUGAAAACACAUCAGAGUAGAGAACAAGAUUAUUACGAAUUACAUUUAAACAAUGAAUUUACAAGUUUUAGAUAAAAAUCAAAGUAUCUAAUAACCUGAUACCCCUUUCAGUGAUAUUGUAGAUCCACAACAAUGGCGAUGGCCUGUAAACAAUUCGUUUAUAUAUAUAUAUAUAUAUAUAUAUUGAAGUAGAUAAAUGAAUUAUCUUAUUAUCAGCUCCAUUCUUUACUAUACUUAAUAUAUAUAUAUAUAUAUAUAUAUAUAUAUAUAUAUACUCUUUUACUCUUUUACAUGUUUCAGUCAUUUGACUGCGGCCAUGCUGGAGCACCACAUUUAGCCGAACAAAUCGGCCUCAGGAUUUAUUCUUUGUAAGCCUAGUACUUAAUCUAUCGGUCUCUUUUGCCGAACCGCUAGGCUAUGGGGACGUAAACACACCAACAUCGGUUGUCAAGCGAUUGUGAGGUGACAAACAUAGACACAAGCACACAAAACAAAUAUAUGUAUAUGUAUAUAUAUAUAAAUAUAUAUAUAUAUAUAUAUAUAUAUAUAUAUAUAUAUAUAUAUAUAUAUAUAUAUAUAUAUAUAUAUAUAUCAGUAACAAUAUAGGGUGAAAUUAAUUAAUUUGGUAUAAUUAUUAAUUACACCAAGUAGAUUUCGGCAUGUAAAAGCCUCAUUCGAGGAAAAUUUAAGUAAUACUAAGCAAUUAAGGGUUUAGCAACGAAUUGCCUCACCUUACAUGCCGAAAUCUACUUGGUGUAAUUAAUAAUUAUUCCAAAUUAAUUAAUUUCACCCUAUAUUGUUACUGAUAACCAUAUUUCAUCCCAGUAAAUGACCGCAGCAUCUUGUCUUGGCUACACGCGGGUGGGAAGGGGCUGGUGACACAAACUUUCAUUCACACUUUGAAUUUUGUGUUACUGGUAACGGCUUUUAGCUCGCUCUGAUACUGAGUUGAGUUGAUGCCUUCUAGUAUCUCGAAAUUUAAUAUACAAUUAUUCAUAAUUGUAGUGUCCUACGCUGAUGAGAAAAGAAGUUGGGUAAGAUAUAAUUAUCUAAUUCUUAUGCUUUCCUAAAACUUAAUUUCGAAACGUACGUCCGUAGGUGACUUAAAAUUGUAUGAUAGAUUGCCGUCAUUUCAUUCUCUCUUACCUGUCUGUGUUUGCCAUUCAAGUGCUGUGUUUUUUACUGAGAUCUCCCUUUUAGUAGAAAGAAUAGCUAUAACUCUUUGACUGCUAUUUCUAAAUUCGGUGUGUGGUGAGGCAAUUCGUUGCUAAACCCUAUAUAUAUAUAUAUAUAUAUAUAUAUAUAUAUAUAUAUAUAUAUAUACACAUAUACACAUAUAUAUGUGUGUGUGUGUGUGUGUGUGUGUAUACGACGGGCUUCUUUUAGUUUCUGUCUACCAAAUCUACUCACAAGGCUUUGUUUGGCCCGAGGCUAUAGUAGAAGACACAUGCCCAAGGUGUCACACCUUAUAUAUAUAUAUAAAAUACAAAAAUGGGACAAGAACGAAAAACAUCCAGACAGGUGAUACAAAAAAGGGACAACAAAAUAUCCAGAUAGACGAUACAAUUUCGGUUGGUUAUACUCGAGAUUGUUCUAAUCUGGUCAGCCCCAGGGAAAAAACUAAGCUAAGAGCAUUAGAUUCCUUGGAAGAAAGCAGCGAAUGUAUACAAAAACAAGGAUGGAAAAAACGGAGAAUGUUACACAGAUACAAAUGCAAAUAACAGGACAUAACACCAGGUCUCUUUCGACUAAGGAUGAAUUAACUUAAGAUACACAGACACACACACACGCAUAUAUAUAUAUAUAUAUAUAUAUAUAUUGGCUCAUCCCAUAAAUAAUGCGUUUUUUUCAAUUGCAUGAACUAAAAGUCGGAGGGGAUGCAGGAUAAACUACCUGCAUCAACUUGCUGUAAAAGCAGGUAAUAAUUUUACCUUGUACUUAUUCUUAGUGCAAGUUUUGAAGCGUGCAAUUCGAUUUUAACAGUUACUUUUUCAAAGCAAUAAUGGAAGUGACAAAAUAGCAUAUUCGGCAUAUUUUGCUUUAUGAAUUCAAUAAAGGCAACAACGCAAUGGAAAGUUCGAGGAAUAUUAAUGCAGUAUAUGGGGAUCGGACAAUAAGCGUAAGCCAGUGUCAACGGUGGUCCCAGAAAUUCCGAACCGGAAACUAAAGCCUAGAAGACGAAUCUCGUCCUGGAAAAUUUGUAGAGCUUGACGAGGACGUCCUGCAAACACUGGGGGAACAAAAUCCCAUCGUAACUGUUGAGGAACUAGCAGAGAAGCUUGGAUUUGGUCAUUCAACCCUUCAUCGACACCUGCGUGUCAUAGGAAAAGUCAGCAAAUUGGAUCAAUGGGUUUCUCACAAACAUUUCGAGUCUAAUUGCGCGCAGAGAGUGAAUUUGUGCUUUUCUUUGUUGUCACAUUUCACGAAUGAACCUUGUUUGGACCGAAUAGUGACUGGUGACGAAAAACGGGUUCUCUAUAAAAAUCUCAAGCGCCGAAGACAGCAGGGAAAGGAGAAACACCGGCACUCCAGGCUAAAGAAGGUCUUCACCCACGUAGGUAUUGUUAUCUGUUUGGUGGGAUAUGAAAAGUUUAGUUCACUGUGAACUUAAACCAAACGAUAACAAAGGAUAUUGUCCGAUCCCCAUAUACUGCAUUAAUAUUCCUCAAAGGAGAUCUGCGAGCAGCUUUUGUGGCUUAGUCAGCGCAAGAAGAAAAACGACCGUCUUUCAUCAGGAUAAUGCUCGGCCACAUACAGCGAGGAUGACAUUCCAAAGGCUGGAGCAGUUUGAAUGGGAAACGAUGCCCCAUCCACCAUAUUCGCCGGACAUUUUCCAAUCUGAUUAUCAUUUAUUUCGCAGACUUCAAAAUCGGAAAAAAAUAUGAAUUCUGUAGACAAGGUCAGAAGAGUUCUGGAAGAGUGUAUUUCGUCACGGACAAGUGACUUUUAGAGAAUUUUAAUUGAUCUAGUUGGUUUGUGCCAUAAAUACCAGCUGGAGAGUUCAUAGUUCAAAACCCACCAACGGCGUUGCACACUACCUAUCAAUAAGGCAUUCAACUUUCAUUUUGUGUCACGGAGAUACUGUGACGCAGGUACGGUUCAUCACUGUAAAGAGGGGGAGCAGCAUUGUAAUUAAAGAGUGCUUGUUAAAUUACUGUUCUAGAAUUAGAUUAUUCCAUGAACUUCGAGAAUAUUUCAUGCACGCGCGCGCACAGACAGACAGAGAGACGGGCGCACACACACCUACAUACACACAUAAACACCACCUCACAUUCUAUAUAAGUAUUAACACUUCCCUUGUAAGAGCAUUUCUGUAUUCCGACUUUAGCCUUUAUCUUUUUAGACAUUAUCAAAUGUGUUCCAGUGUCCUUGUGUGUUGCUCUUUAUAUAAAACUGUAAUAUGUGAUUUGCACUAGAUUUGACUGCUAUUUCUAUUUGUUAGAGACUUGUUCCUAUUUCUGAUAACAAAAAGUCCUAAAACGCUAUAGGUUCUACACACAUCGUCAAAGAUUUCGUAUUUAUCAUCCUUACUCGUAGCGUAGAACUCAGCACUAGAAGCUAACGAAUCAUUCGUAAACUGUAUCUUGCUCUGCCAUAUACAUUGCUGUAGUAUGAAGUGAUAAACAAUUAGAGCUUUGUAAAUACACUAGGAAGUUGAAAAUAAAUUUCUUGGUCAUAAGUCAAGCGCAGAGAACGGUAGAUAAGAAUCACUGACACUUGGUUGAAAGUUUAGUCCUUUAUGGCAAGGGUGGGCCAAUUGUUUGAUAAGAGCCACGCAUGGUAUUUUUAAUGGGUGACCGGUAAUAAAGUCACAAUUUUGGCUAGGGAAAAAGUCACAAUUAAUUCACGGUAUCCGAACAAAACUCCCCUAGGACAUACCCCCCUCCUCACCGCCCCGAACAAAAACCCCGUGACUUUUUUUAUCCGGGAUUCUUUUAAUGAUCAGGUGUUGUGUCAUAUUUUUAGAAAUCAUAUUCAUAGAAAAUAGAUCGCAACAAUUUUACUCACUAAAACAGGUUAAUCUCUGCUCGUUAAUCUCGACUGUUGUCGAGUCUUCAUUCUUGCAGUCAGUACUUUAAAAUCCGGCUUGUAGGAUUUUAAACUUGUUUUGGGAAAAUUAGCGCUUAAACCCAAUAUUACCUCGGGAGCCGCAUGUCAAAGCUUCGAUCGGCCUAAGAAAACGAAUGGGGGGGGGGGCUUAAAAAAAGUUGAGUUUAAUAUUCAAAUCUGGUAUGUAAUACAAACCUAAGACAAAUGAAAGUAACAAAUCUGAUUUUAUGAACUAAAGCUGAAAGAGGAUUCGUGUAUGCUAUAUUCAUCCUACGUCAAUUAUAGAUUUAAUUUUUAAAGUUAUAUUACCUAAGUAUCAGGAAUUGCCUCUCGCAUAAAUUACACCGGUUUCUUUCGAAUUGUUACAAAAGUUCUAUAUUUUAAAGAAGAGUAGAAUAUGAUACGAUGACAUUCAUGCCUCUACAAACUCUGGCCAAACGAGAAUUAAAAUCCAGUUACGGUCCCGAUUUUCCAGGAAAAUAGUACCGCUUCUAGAUUGCCUGUGACAAAAUAAAACUCUAAUUAGAAAAUAAUUGAAUCUGACAAUAGAAAUGGCUGUACGAGUGACACCCGUAUGGUGUGAAAAUGUCAUAAAGAGCUUCCGGCCAAUGCUUUUCUUAGAUGAAGAAAAAUAAAUCGUUUAUAUACAGUAGAGAGAGAGAGAGAGAGAGAGAGGGAGAGAGAAACAGAGAGAGACAGAGACAGACAGACAGAGUAGUGUUAUCGUGUGUACUAACUGUAACAGUCAAAAUACGCUCCAUAGAAUAUGAAUGUAUAUGGUUAGGUCAAUUAUAAUAUUAGUUCAAUUGAAAUACUAGUUCAUUAUAUUUAGAUGUUAGGCGACUGAAAUUACAUAGUAUACUUUUAAAUAGAAGGUACUAGCCAAACUUUUCUUAGAAGUCUUUCAUAAAUGCAUGUAUAAUAUUUGUUUGUGUUAGUAACUUCAAAGAAUUAUACAUCAAAUAACAUCGCACUUGUUCAGAGACUUUUAUGUCAAACUACUGCUGUUACUUUGUUUUGUUAGCAGCUUCCAAGCUAUAGAAAUACGCUUUCUCUAUUUUUUUUCUCUCAUUAGCAGAAAAUGAGUCUCUCUAUCAUUUUUUUCCUUUACUAUCAAGAGGAAAGACAAGAAAGAGAGGGAAAGAGGGAGAAUUGAAAAAGGAGGAGUUAGUUAUGAAACCUGAUACUUUUCAGUUGAUGCCGACACUUUAAUGCUAAUUUCUAUCACGUUCGUGGUGCGGAGGAAUGGUCGGUAAAACCUACUCCAAUACUUUAUAUUAUCAAGCCAAGGAUGAGAGGCAACAAGGAUGAAAGGCAAGCCCACUAGCGGCAUUUGUAACUCAGAACAUAAAGUGAGCAACUAAAUACUGCCGGACGUUUUGCCCGCUUCUCUACUAAUUAUGCAAAUCAGCACACCUAAGACAAACAUUUUUAUUUACUCCCUACUGACCUUUUCGAUAUCAGGCUGAAGAAUACUUUUCUCUCCAGCCAAAUUUCACCCACAUUCAAAUUUAAAACCGGCCGCUGAAAAGGUUUUUUUUUAAAUAUACAUAAGAUAAAGGUGUAAGCGUUAAGAUCAAAAUUUAAAACUUCCCAGUUUAGAUAGGUUUUCAGGUGCUCGGUAAUUUCGUCACCAGAAAUUUCUUCCCCGGUAAUAUCGCCACUCGUAAUUUUGCCCCGGUAAUUUCGUGGAUCUUUUCCUUUUGAACGGCAGUUUUCAACACAAUUUCUAGUUAACUAAACACUUUUAAACUUUUACGUAGUUUAAUUCUUCGAAUUUUAACCAAUGAAAUCCCAGCAUUUGAGCUAAAUUCAUUUGCUGCGUCUAAGCAAACAGCAAGACACAUACACUGGCGGAGCGGAAGGUAUUUAGCAAGCACAACUGAUGGAAAGGCCGCGGAGAUUAUGAAAGAAAAAAAGGGCUGUUAGAACGUAUCUGACAUUAUUAUUUAUUUGUAUCUCCCUGGUAGGAGAUGGGCUGAAUCCUGGAAGCACUGCAAUACCAGGCCAACCCGUGGCAAAGGCGGAGCAAGCCCCUAACACUUCGCCUCGUUCUAAAAAUCAGUUUAAUAUCGAUGGCCCCAAAUAGGGACCAUAUCAGAUAUUAAGCUGAUAAGAACAGAUACUACACUUUGAUCUUAGCCAAAAGGCCGAGAAGCGAUAAAUUUUGACCGUUUUACCACAGACUAUAUUUACACAUGUUAAUGUUACACCCACUGAUGUGUAAAUUAUUUAUUCCAAUCACAUUUAAUUACCUGCUAUAUUGUCAAGAUAUUCAAUCCUUACAUUUUCUACGUCAAAAUAUUUUUAAUAUCUUUAAAUCAAUUAUUUGCAAGUUUAUAUGGAUAUUGUAUGUUGAAUGGUAAUAUACGUUCUUAUCACUAUAUAAAGUAAACGUCUAAGACAAGUGACGUCACCAAGAUAGGGGGCUCGACUAAUCACUUAGCAGUGUUGGCUAUUGACUGGCUGCUGGGUAGCAGGUCACACUUCAUGAAUCUUACUGACCUCUGACCAGAGCGUUCAAUCCUCAAUUAGUGCAUCUUACAUUCAAAUCAUAUUUAUAGACCAAUAAUAAAUAUCUAUUUCAGCGACUAACAUCUUCGUUAAUGUCGACUGCUUUGUUUUAAUAGCUAUACCUUGUAAAUCGGGCGACCACGUAGUGAUUGGUACGUUGUUAAAGUAACAUGUUUGCUUCAAACCAACAGGUACUCGGUUUCGGACCACUGUUUUCCCAUAUUAAACUUAAAAUAUUAUUUACAAUAGCGUCAGGUGAACGUUGUGAGUGAAAGUGGACUGUGAUGAAGUUAACAUUUCAGUUGUCAUUGAGCAAAUAAUGUUGGGAUCUUUUCCUUUUGAAUGGCACUUUGUAACAUAAUUUCUAGGCAACUAAACACUUUUAAACUUCGUAUACUGGUAGAAUGUGUUUAUAAAACAUUUUUUCUUGGCUUUAUUGAUACCCUUCCCCCACCCCUAACCCUAAUCCUAACCCUAACUCACCCUAACUCUAACCCUAAAUCUAAAAUAGAUUGAAAUGCAAUAGAUCGAUACUAGGGUUCUAAUUAUGGGUGACAUUUUCAUUUGACACCGCUAGAAAAAAAUCCCAUUUUCCGUAGCGGUGUCGUAUGAAAUUGUCACCCAUAAUUAUAACCCUAGUAUCGAUCUAUUGUAUUUCAAUCUAUUUUAGAUUUAGGGUUAGACUUAGGGUUAGAGGUGGGGGAAGGGUAUCUUUUUUUCUUCGCAAAUGUAAAUAAACCCAAUCUGUUUCUUAAACGAGGGACAUAUUCAUACAGCACGGAAUGUUUACGUCAAUGGAGGUCAGCGAUUGGUUAAAAUUGCCGAAAUGCUUGAAAUUAAAGUGGAAAUAUGUUACAACAUCUAGAAUUUUCUCAAUAAAGCCAAGAAAAAAUGAUGUUUUAUAAACACAUUCUACCAGUAUACGAAGUUUUAAAAUGUUUAGUUAACUAGAAAUUGUGUUGACAUGUGCCGUUCAAAAGGAAAAGAUCCAAUUUCGUUACUAUUGUCCGUUUAAGCUCAUUUCAUCUGGGGGUUUUAUCGGAUACCUCAAGCAAUAAACUGAUUAUCACAAAAUUUCAUAUUGUCUUAGAUAAUAUGGAACUAAUGGAACAGUUUCGACAAAAUUCAAAAUCUAUUAACAUUACCUCUUUGGUCACAUCGUUAUUGAGAACAAAAUGUAAUUUCAUGAUGAUCAUUGCAGCAAUAACGUCUUUAAAUGAAAUCAUUCGAAGUACAGAGGCAGAGUGGUCUGCGUGGACGAGCAUACGUAUAUGGAUGUCGCGGAACGUUGUCCACCGACCUUCAACGAGAUGAUGCCGACCGGACAAAAGGGAUCAAGGUACGCGAUGUCAUGAAAUGGAAAGCCGCUACCACUAAGGAGAAGCAUAGUCAGAUCGUUACAGAAUGCACCGAAGAUAAUUGAAUCUGACAGAAAUGGCUGUACGAGUGACAUCCAUAUGGUGUGAAAAUAAACCAACUACCGCUGCUUGGCUAAAGUCUGCGCUAAGCGCGCAUGCACGGAGUUGACUCCUUUGGCUUGACUCCUUUGCAAAAAGAAAGAAUUAUUCCGUGGAGUACAAGAAAGGAAUUGUGGAAGAGUCACAUAACAAUAAUUUUAUGGCUUUCUGUAAGGAGAUGUUGGCUCUCCGAAUGGCGAGCAAAGUACGAUAAUCUCAGCAGACAAGUGGAUGAGGGGAGUGCUAAGAAGCACAAGUGUGGAUCAGGUCGACAACCGUUAUUUUCGGAGCUGGAAGAUAUUACAUCGGGAUGGAUUGCUAACAGAAGAACAAAGGCUUUGGUUGUAGGUAGGGUUGAUAUUCAAGAAUUUACUCUUGCAAUGGCACCACAGUUGGAUAUAUCCACAGAGAUAUUCAAAGCAUUACCUCAUUGGCUGGAUAACUUCCUUCGGCGAUAUGAGCUCUUUCUACGAAGAUUGACAACACUGUUCAAGCAGGAAGAUGUUAAAGUAAUUCAACAUGCACUUGCAUUCAAGUCCUUCGUUGAUGGCAUCGACUUUUCUAAAUACAAUCUGUCUAAUUACUCAAGAUUACUGACGCAGUAUUCAAUAUUCUAACAUGACGUUCAUGUUACGUGGGAUAUAAAGAUUGUUUUUGGCAUUCCUACGGCUUCCGUCGCUAAUAAUUAAUGUUUAAUAAGCCUGUUGGCUACUUGCAACAUCAGUGCUUGAAAUGAUGGUAUUCUAUGUAUCGUAGCAGCGAGAUUUGCCAAGUAUGCGAUGACCGAACGUCUCACUAACGAUGACCAGUAGACUGAAAUCUCGUGAGUUCCGGCGCCCAUAACAGAUAAUUCUCGUUUGCUACGAUCUAUGUGUGUACUUUUAUGCACCAAGCGCCUAUAUGAGAGGUUCUCUCAAGGCUAAUAACUCAGUAUUCGGUGUUCUUACAAGACAUACACGUUAAGUUGAAUAUAAAGAUUGCCUUUUGGUACCAAUACUAGUUCCGUCGCUAAUAAUUAAGUUUUAACAUAUUUGUACUAUACUCCUCUGUUCGUAUUAUACUCCUCUGACGUACAAUACUCCUCUUAGUACUAUACUCCUCUGUUCGUACUAUACUCCUAUGUUCGUACUAUACUCCUCUGUUCGUACUAUACUCCUCUGACGUACUAUACUCCUCUGACGUACUAGUUCGUACUAUACUCCUCUGACGGAUUUACCCCUCAACCAUUUUGUUAUUAUUGAAAAUCUAUGUUAUCAGUAUUAUGGCUCUUUAGUCUCUUUGAUCCAGCAGACCUACAAUCAAAGAGAUCGCAGCUGUGAUCAAACCUACUAUUAGUAAAGACAAAACAUGAUUUGAGGAAGAUUUAGCUGUUAUUUCAGGCAUCCAAGCAACCUCGAACAGCUUCCUUCAUUGGCUUGCAAAGCUAUGUUAAUAUAUAAUAUGUAAUUACAACAACAUUCACUAAUUACGUUUGACUUUACAAAUUAACGGAACAACUUUAUUCCAUAUAACACUAUAGGUCUUCACGGCACUAUGUAAAUCAGUAAAGGCGCAGAACUGACUUUACUCAUUAACAUUAAAUCAUUUAGUGAACAUGACUAAUUAGAUCGCAGAGGGCUUAUUCACACUACAAUAGUGAUGAGAUAUUAAUUUCAGGAUGUUUCCUCUGGGUGUUAUUUAAACCAAAUGUUGAUUUAUAAAUAAAUUGCCUGAGUCUCACAUGCCAGUAGUUACUUUCUGAAGCUUCACUUUACAUCAAAUUAUCAAUUUAUCCUCUUCUCUCUGUUUGUCUUCAAAUCUAUUUAUAUACAGUAAAAAUAUUUUACACACUGUUUUAAUCUUUAACUUUAAAUCCAAAAAGGAUAACAUGACUUCGCUAUUGGCUCACUGAAGAAGUUUAACACUGUAAGAAAACGAACGACAAAACAUUUUCUUAAAGACAAACCGAUAACAUUUUAUACAUUUGUUUUGUUUCUUUUACUUAAAUAACCAUUCCAAAAUUUAGGGAUUCUGACUACUUUUCCCUUUUCUACGUACAGACUCCAUCCCUUGCGUAUACAUCCCCAUUUCAAGCACUAUCACGCACGCAAGUGCACAUACACACACAUACAUAUAUAUAUAUGUGAGCGGGAGAGUGGCAAAAGUGCUAUCUUAAUGAUGGGUUUGGGCAGUGAUAUGCCAGGUUGCCAGAUUAGAGUACAAGGAGUGGAUUACGCUACUUUUCAGGAUUGCAUACUAUAUUUUUUUUAAUUUGGACAACUUACUGCGUAAGAUUUUAAUUUUAGAUAUAAGAAUUCUAUGUAAUGUCACAUUAAAUUAUCAACUAAAUGAAUUAGAACCGAUUCUUAAAUAUUUUAAAACAAAAUUAAUUGCAAAAUUUUUAUGAUAGGUUUCUCUCAAACGCAAAACCCCAUCUUUGGGAAAAUUUUUUGCGAUACAUUUUAUCGAUAUAUUUUAUAAGACUGAUAUCGUCAACUGUCGACAUAAAGAGAUUAUUUAAUGAACAGGGUGUCCAUAAAUUCUCUGGAUCUUUUCAAUUUGAUGGCCAGAUUUUUUAAUUAAUUUUUUUUUAACUAAACACUUUGAAACUUCGGAUACUGGUAGAAUGCGUCACAUAGAACAGGAUUUAUUCUUAACGUUUUUGACAAAACUCAUUGCUAUUCGAACACUUUGCUAGCCAGGUUCUUGUAUGAAAUGCUACUGGAGUAAUCCCCUGGAUUUUAUUAAUCCACUUUAUUAUAGGUGUGGUGUGUAUACUUCUAUUUAUGUAUGUCGUUAUUCAGUUUCAUUUCAACAUCUCUGACCAAUAGAGAAAGAACUAGUUUCUCACUUAGAUCCAAAGCUGCUUCAUUGGAAUUUCAGCAAUAUCAACAGAGUAUUUUUGCAUGUAUGUGAGUAUGUGCUGUAUAUAUGUAUUCUCAUGCACAUAUUUGCAUGUCUAGACAUGCGUAUAUAUACUUAAAUGGUAAGCUUCUAGAAAGUUUUACAGAUUUUUACAUUUCCAGUGAAGGUUUGGACUUGUAGUUUUCGAAUCAGCUUUCUCCUUUCUGGUUUUGAGAAGUCUAAUUUCUCAAGAUUGGUACUUAGGCAGUGUAUUACAUAUCCAAGUACUCCAGUAAUUACAGGUAUUAACCUGAUCUUGUAAUCUGGGCAGAAUAACUGUAAAUUUCUCAAUAGUUCAGCGUAGGUAUUUUCUUUUUCACUAAUCUUUGGCGUUAUGUUAACAUCUGUUGGGUGUGCGCGCACAUAUUUAAAUAUGUAUGUAUGUGUGUAUUUUAUACAACUACCUGAUGCCACUAGACAACCUCUUGUAACAUGCGGAAACACACAUAUAAUUAACUGGUGUUGCUGUUUUAUCGAACUACUAGCAAAUGCACCCGUCCUUUGGGUGGUUUAAGUUGCUUUGGUGGUAUUUUUUCACCAAAUGAUUGAACUGCCGAGAAGGUUUAUAAGUAGCACGGCAAUCUAUGUUUCCGAUUAACCUAGGAACGGAAAACCAAAUUGAAGGCUGGUUAUUGUGAAGGUCGUUCAACUUUAAUCAUCAUAGAACAUAUAAGUUUGCAAGAGAUGUAAAUUAGAGCUACUGAAGUGUUUUGGGAGUAGAUUACGGAUAAUGACUACAAAAUACGGUUACUUUACAUGAAAGCGAAAUUUCUUGUCAGAAACAGCCACAUAAUGAUGUAAGGAAAUUGAAGGAAGACGUUGAAACUUCCCCUCUGCGAGUUUGUUUUAUUCAACAUCAAAGGGGCUAUUUUUGCGGCGAGAAGUAUGAUUGGCACGUUCAAAAAUGGCAAUAUUAUACCUACUUGAAAAAGCAGAGUUAAAGGAAUGUAUUUACUACGUGCUUAUAGUGUAUGACCACUCUGAAAUUGGCUUCAGGUAACGAAAAAUGAAGACUUGAAGAGUUUGACUUCAGUUCACGAAUACUGCUUUGAAUCUUUAGCAGUUCGCAGUGAAAAGAUGUCGGUUGAUGGUGUGGAGCAUUUCCUGACGUUCAUUCAAAAGAGGCAUUUUUGUUCCAGGUGCUAUCUGAGCUCGGCGAGUCGUUUGCUCAGUGGUAUCUCCAAUUAAGUAAAUUUGAAGGAAUCAGUGUUCAGCGUUGUUGAAAAGAAGAAUAGAGCCAAUUCGUUGAUAGAUUUGGCCCUGAAUUUUGAAUGUUGACAUAUAGGAGUUUUCAUGAAUGAGUUCGUGACCGAAACUUGUCAUCUGGAAGGUAGAGUUAUAAGCACGAAUUUUCUGUACAAAUUGCCGCGAAGCAGGGUGUUGACCAAUAGUCAAAAGAUCAUGAUGGAUGGGUAAAUAAUCAUCCUUAAAGUGAAACAGCACAUUGGUAGGUAAACAAAGGUAUCAAUAAAUAGAAAAGAAGGAAGGGAACAUCACUUUUCAAAUAACUCAGAAUAGGUAAAGGUAAGCUUGCAAAAGUUUAAUGCAGUUUAAAUAUGGAGAUCAAGAUUCUUUGGUAUUGGAUAUUCAUAUAUUGGAUAUUCAUAUAUAUUCAUAUAUAUAUAUAUACAUAUAUACGACGAGCUUCUUUCAUUUUCCGUCUACCAAAUCCAUUCAGAAGGCUUUGAUCGGCCCAAGGCUAUAGUAGAAGACACUUGCCCAAGGUGCCACGCAGUGGGACUGAACUACUAUUUAGAUGAGGUUUCUGUUAAUAAAGAGCAGAAAAAAAUCACAGAAGAAAGACAAAAAGCUAGCGCCAAUUGUUGACAAGUUUGAAUGAAAACAGAAGAUUAUUUCAAGUAAUUAAGAAUAAAAUGAAGUGAAUUAGCUUGCUUAAGAAAAAGACGAUUUGAUCUUUAUUUUGAAGACGUGUGAAAGCUAUACACACCGCAAAUCGGUAUCGAUUUUGUGUCAUAAGCAUAACAUUUUCCUUCUCACCGAUCAGUUUUACGUAAUGUAAUAUAGGCAAAGAGUGAUUGAGAAUAUUAUUGACCAAAGGUAAUUUCCAUAAUUUAAGUGAAAAGGAACUGACAGGAAAAUAGCUGGAAGGUACCAGUAGUAUGAAUUUGUGUAACAAAAGAAAGGGUGGUAGAAUGAAUAACGCAUAGGACAAAUUCUUAUGGACAGAGAGGGACAACGAAAACCUACAACCUAACAACGAAAACCUAACAAUAGAAUAAGGAGAUAAUUUAAAGAAAUUAAAAUAGUGUGUUGCAAUUUACACAACACACUAGAAGGGCCUGCUGGUAGUAACGCAUUUCUCCGAACUCUUUGAAUAUUUUCCUCCUAUUUGGAAAAGGAAACCUUUCCCGAAAUAUUACAAGAUAAUUAAAAGAAAAAAGCUAUGUAAGAUAAUGCAUUAUCUUUUCGUUUUCAUUUAUUGAUAUGACCUAACAUAUUUUGCUAACUUUUCCAUAUUGCUCAAAAGUUUUCACGUGAAAUGUAUAUUAAUAAAAAGCUGAUUUGUUUGAGUAGAUGUUAAAUACAAAUUACUAGCAUUAACAUUUUAUCUUAAAGUUAGCUUGUUGACGGUGAUAUUGGUUUUCUUUCUCCUAAGGAUGCAAGUUUACUUGAGAGAUUAAUUAAUUUCUCAAAAUUAUCUCCCUUUUAUUUUGGGGUCGCUAACAAUUGCCGCUAAAGGCUUUGCUUUCUAUUUGUAAUUAACUAAGAAGCCUCCAUAACUUAGGAAUUUUUUUUUAUUUACGGCAUUGUUAUACAUCGCAAGUUUUAUAUGCAGAUAUCAAUUAUUUAGUCUAUAUUUUGCACAAGAAAUUGUGAGAUACACAACCGACAGAGGAAGGAUUAAUAAUUAUUGACACAGAAAAUUCCUCGCUAGGUUGAACCGUUUAUUUAUAAUUGUUGUUGUUUAGCCCCAGGUCAACCGCAACUGAACAGACUUAUGAACGCAUUCCAGCCGAGAACUUAGAAUGGUUUUCAUGGAGGGUCUUUUUUUUCUGUAGCACCAGGGUAAAUAAAUCUAAAUUUGGAUGAGAAGACCAAAUUAAAACGUAAGAGUACUUCUACUAUCUUUAGCACUCUUUCGCUGUUAUUGUUAUCAAUAUACACAAUGAACGCAAAAGUGGAAUCCCAUGUUGAGGAACAUUAUGUUAUUUGCUUUAUUUUAGAAAAAAAUCCGGUCUGAAUUAAACGUUAUGUUGUCGAGUGGAAGGCGCGUCUCUAACGAAAAAUGUUACCGAUGAUCUGGGUUGAUUUGUUGAGGAAAACUUUCAAGCACACACUUCCUAUGCACCCAUAAAUAAUUUCCUCCAUUUUAAAGCGUCCUUACUCAUAUUUUUUCCUGUAUUUCCUUUAUUUUAUCAUUGUUGUUACCAUUGGCAACUCUUAAUGGAAGAAGCGCUGCUAGCUGUGGCUAUUUGGAGGUGGUGUUGGUGGCGACAACAGCCAGCAGCAGCAGCAACCAGGGACCAUUAUGCGAUUAUAGCUAAGUGACACUACUGUAACUGAUGUCGCUUUUUUGUAAAACGGAAACGUACAGAAACGAAAAUUAUUUUUAUUACAGACAAUUCGGUAAAUGGAGCAUUUUUGUGAAGUAUUUUGCAGAAAGACAGAUCGUGAAUGAUUGAUUUAUCGAUAUUUCGGUUGCAUUCAUAUCUUCCGGUUUUCCGUUUCGGCUGCAUUCACAUUUUCCGGUUUUCUUUUUCAGAUUUACUGGUCUGUAUUUUUAAAAAUCAGUAUCCUUAAUAUAUUUUAAACAUAGGAAUGUUUGUUGUGUCUGGUGAAAGAUAUAUCAAUAUGCAUAUUUCAUUUAAUAUGGGUAAUUAACCUUUGAUAGUUAUUACAUCUUAGCUAUAGGAGUGGUUGUGUGGUAAGUAGCUUGUUUACCAACCACAUGGUUCCGGGUUUAGUCCCACUGCGUGGCACCUUGGGCAAGUGUCUUCUACUAUAGCCUCGGGCCGACCAAAGCCUUGUGAGUGGAUUUGGUAGACGGAAACUGAAAGAAUCCCGUCGUAGAUAUAUAUAUAUAUAUAUAUAUAUAUAUAUAUAUAUAUAUAUAUGUGUGUGUGUGUGUGUGUGUCUGUGUUUGUUCCCCCUAGCAUUGCUUGACAGUCGAUGCUGGUGUGUUUAUGUCCCCGUUACUUAGCGGUUCGGCAAAAGAGACCGAUAGAAUAAGUACUGGGCUCACAAAAGAAUAAGUCCCGGGGUCGAGUUGCUCGAUUAAAGGCGGUGCUCCAGCAUGGCCGCAGUCAAAUGACUGAAACAAGUAAAAGAGUUAAGAGUAUAUUCAUAUUUCAAUGCUCUCACACAAAAAUUGAAUUUAUCUUUACUGAGCCCGAUGCUAAAAGGCUCAACGCAAAAAGUAUUCGUUAUGCUUGUGAUAUAUGUAUAUUUCUUUUUAUUAAAUAUAGCAUACCAUUUCUGCAAGAUAUUUUAUAAAUGACAAUUUUUUUCAAUUAAUCUCCCCAGGAAUCGCUUAGCUUAAUUGGUUGAGAGCUGUCAGUCAGAUUUUAAGAAGUACAGGGUUCGAUUCUCUGUAGUGGCUUGCUGAACACUUUUUACGGGCAGCGAGCCGGCAGAAUCGUUAGCACACCGGGCAAAAUGCUUAACGGCAUUUCAUCCGUCUUUAGGUUCUGAGUUUAAAUUCCGUUGAGGUCGACUUUGCCUUCCCUUUGGGGUCCACAAAAUAAGUACCAGUUAAGCAUUGGGGUUGAUGUAAUCAACUUACCUCAACCACCAAAACUGCUGGCUUUGUGCUAAAAUUUGGAACCAAUUAUUUUCAAUUAAUGGCGCAAAUUUUUUUCAACCCUUUUGUAAAAUUUUCCUGAUAGGAAGGUUGUAUAUAAGUUAUCGAUUUUUGGUAUGUUGACAUUUUUCCAAUUCUGCAUUUCUUCUACUUUACUGUUUUGCAUAUAAUUAAUAUAACACUACAUUUUAUUUUAUGCAUAGGAAUGUUACAUAUAUGAAUUUAUAUUUGUUGGUGGGGGGGGGGGGGUACAAUAAUGCUAUUAUUUUAAAGUAAUUUUAAGAAUAACAACGAAAUUAUUUACUGAUGGGAUGACUCAAUGCUUAAAGUAGUCAAAUUCAUUGAACAAGCCACUAGGCGAAAUUUAAAGUUCUAGUUAGCUUGGUCUCUGUGUGUAUGUGCGUAAUAUAUAUAUAUAUAUAAAUACUCACACAUAUGUAUGUAUAUAUGUGUAUGUGUGUGUGUGUGUGUGUGUGUGUGUGUGUGUGUGUGUAAAAUAGGGGUAGGGUUGUGUAUCUGGCAUUUAUCACCACCAACAAGAACUUAACUGUCAAUUCCCAUUGGAUUUAAUUUUAAGGUGUUGUAGAUUAUUUGCUGCAUUGAGGCUUUUGAAUGUGAUAAGGAUAAAGAUGAAUGUAGCUAUAUCACCAUUCCUCUUUCUUGACCCCCAUUAUUUUCUUCUGCCACUCUAAAUUACAGUAGGCUUUAAGUAUUUUUUCUCUAAAGUCAUUCUGCCACAAAAAUAGCAAAGAGAAGGAAUGUAAUUAUUUUGGUCUCUAGUACUGAUGAAAAAUUUGAUAAAAAAUUAUAAUGGUGUAUCCUGUAUAUUGGAAAUAUAUAUGGUCGUAUGCUCUGAGGAGAGCAGUUUAUUUCAAACUGAUGCAAUGUUUUCAUUGAUCGAUUAAAUGGAGCUGCUUGAAAUGGCCGUAAUGCACUGAUAUCUGGAUAUCCUUGUUGCUUAUUUGCUUUUUAUUCACCUUAGUUCGAGCUGUGCGGACCAUACUGGACUGACCUGGUGCCUCAACUUGAGUACUUAAUUCAGCUGAAUCUUAAUUAUUCCUUAUAUGUAUGUAUAUGUUUAUAUAUGUGUGUGUGUGUGUAUGUAUAUAUGUAUGUGUAUAUAUAUAUAUAUAUAUAUGUGUGUGUAUAUAUAUAUGUAUAUAUACAUACAUAUAUAUAUAUAUAUAUAUAUAUAUAUUUAAAUUGACUUUAUAAUUGUUCAAUUUAUUGUUUUGUUUUCCAUUUAUGUAUAUGUGUGUGCCUGUGUGUAUGAGUGUGUGUAUGUAUGUAUGUAUGUAUGUAUGUAUGUAUGUAUAUAAUAUAUAUUUGAUAUAUAUAUAUAUAUAUAUAUAUAUAUGUAAAUGUAAUAUGUGACAAUUAUUCAGUAGCCAUGAUGAAACUCCGAGUUUCGGAUGCCGGGGUAGAGUUUUAUCAUGGCUACCGAAUAAUUCUCACAUAUUACAUUUACAGAUAAAUUCCUCUAUUUACAUAAUAUCGAGGUCUCUUUCUUUCUUUUGUUGUCUUACUAUUUUUACCAAUAUAUAUAUAUAUAUAUAUAUAUACAUACACACAUACACGUGUGUGUGUGCAUGCGACGUACGUAUGUAUGUAUAUUAAAAAUCACAGAAAUUCGCAUCUCCUCUUUCAGCCCUAUCACGAUCCACUAUCUAACUUCUUCACACAGUUGCUGCUUCGCUACCUUUUGUACUCUAUUGUCCUCUUUUGAAUACUAGUGCUGAUAACACCUGGUAAUUGGAUAAGUGAAAGUUGCUAUUUUCAGAUUGAUGCUUUCGGAACCUUAUCCAAUACCAUAUAGGGUACUUGGUGGGUAUACAGGCACUAAUCGGCAGUUAUUGCCUUGAUAUCUAGACUAACAAAUCACAUGAUAAAUGUAUGUGCUUGGAUUCACCCUACCAAACGAUUGCAAGAAGAUACACGAUUCUCAACAGCUUGAACUAUAAUCGUGAGGAGGAGGCUGGAUAGGUUGAGGAGAGAAACUGAAAGAGUUGAUUAUAGUGCGAAGAAGUGUGAGGUGUAGGUAGAUAUGGUAUUAUCUAGGUGAAAGAAAGGAAGAAGAAAUAAAAAGGGGCAGGUGCAAAUUAAUGAAGAAACUAGCAGAAAGAAAGAGCUCUGCUGUGAGAAAUAAAUUGCUAACAAUAGAUUUUGCAGAUUUGUACAGAGGUGUGUAUGUGUGAGAGGCAGAGAGACAGAGAUUGUGUUAAAAUAACUUUUAAAAUUAACAUGCAUACAUAUACAUACAUACAUACAUACAUACAUACAUACACACACACAUAUAUAUAUAUACACACAUACAUAUAUAUAUAUAUGUAUAUAUAUAUAUAUAUAUAUAUAUAUAUAUAUAUAUAUAUAUAUAAACGCCCACAUACACAUGCACAAAUUGUACAACAUUAUUCUAUACAUUUGUAGUUAGUUGGAAAGGCAGAGUAACUAUCACUGUGUAUGUGUAUAUAUAUGUAUAUGAAUUGUGUUAAUGCGUUUGGUGGAACAAGAGAAGUAGAACACAAUACAUGAGUAGUGUGUGUGUAUGUGUGUGUGUGUGUGUGUGUGUGUGUGUGUGUGUGUGUGUGUGCGCAUGUAUUGUUGUUACUGGCGUCAAAAGAAUUUAGAAACUUCGAGAUCGUAAAAUAAUUCUCUUGUUUUCGGAACUGUGAAUCUCGAAGCAGAUAAAGUUACAAAUAAUAGCGUGAAAAUAUUGGGUUAAAAAUACCUUUUGGAUAGAAAAAGUCGAAGGCUAGCUAUGGAACUUAUCUUUUUCUAUCCAAAGGUUUUUCAAGCCUAUUUACACACUAUUAUUUAUAGCUUUGUCUACAUCGAGAUUCAUCGUUCUAUAAAAGAAUUUUGCAUACAUACGAGCGAGCGUGCACACACUCACACACACAGAUGUAUAAUUGACACACAUUACGCAAAUACGUACUCUUGUAUUUGUCUGAGUGUUGAGUCCUGCGGGUGCUUGGAUAAAAUGCGAAUGUCAAAUUGAUACGGUGUACCUCCAUGCUGGUCUUUGGCAUGUUGGUAGAGUAUGUAAGACUGUUUUUGUCGUCAUAUUGUCUCAAAUGUCCAUUUAGCCUCACCUCAACACUUAUAGAUGUCUCACCUAGGUAUUUCAUGUUCUUGUCUUUACUAGAACCCUCUAUGCACCUUAUGCUGUAAACUGAAUUUCUAGUUCUACAGUUAAUGCCAGGGUUAAUCUUACAUACCAUGUAGUUAUCACUGGUGCAUGUGGUAUUCUCAAAGGGAGUACGUUCUUCAUAGUUGUCAUCUGAUUGAGCUCCCUGAUUUUUCAACGAUCUUAAUGUUGAAUUUGACUUCCUUCAGAGUUUUCGUGAAUCUUCGAGCUCCAUGGGCUGUGACCUCUACAAACAUCACUCCUUGAUAUUUAUCAGUCUUGUACUACGUGUUCACCCUGUUUGCUUUGUCACAAACAUUUGUUACUCUCAUGCUACUGUUGUUGCACGGUCUGGAUAUUGUUCUGUGGGUUGUCGACAGUCUGCCAGACUUGUCCGUAGGGAGGCGCACUAAUUCCCUGUUCCUGAUUCGCUGUUUCAGUUUUUGUAGGCCUUUGGCAACAGAUGAACUGAGUUAGUGGGUUUCCCCCUCAUUAUGUUUUUAGUGGUUUUGUGGUACCGGUCUAAGAUGUGUCGGAGUCUAUUUCUAGCUAAUGAAAUCUUUGCCUCUGUCUCACUGUCACUCUAUGGUGGGAUACAUACCCUUUUGUUGAAGGGUAAGUCUGUGGUGUGGAUCCUCCUCAUGUCGUAUGAUUUGUUGUUGGGGUUAUAGAAGACAGAGUGUAGAAUACUACUGGUGUUAAUAUCGUUCUAGUUGUUGUUGCUAUGGUUGCUGGCAUUGUUGUUGCAACGAUAGUAACACCAAUAGAACAAUAGCGUGUUAUGUAAUAAGGCACUAAAAGAGAAUGACUCUCCCCAGACACAAUAUACUUAUAUAUAUACACACAUUAUAUACACACACAUAUAUAUAUAUAUAUAGACACACACACAUUGUAUAUAUGCAUAUAUAUAUAUAUAUAUAUCUAUAUAUAUAUAUACUAUAUAUAUAUAUAUAUAUAUAUAUAUAUAUAUAUACACACAUACACAGUGAUAGUUACUCUGCCUUUCCAACUAACUACAAAUGUAUAGAAUAAUGUUGUACAAUUUGUGCAUGCGUAUGUGGGCGUUUAUAUAUAUAUAUAUAUAUAUAUAUAUAUAUAUAUAUAUAUAUAUAUAUAUACAUAUGUAUGUGUAUAUAUAUAUAUGUGUGUAUGUAUGUAUGUAUGUAUGUGUAUGCAUGUUAAUUUUAAAAGUUAUAUAUAUACACAUAUAUAUGUAUAUAAUGUAUAUAUAUAUAUUUAAAUAUAUAUAUAUAUAUAAGUAGCAACAUAUAUGCAUACGGAUUCGUAUGGAUACAUACAUAUAUAUUAAUAUAUAACAGUUUGCGUGCGUGCGUGUGUGUGUGUGCAAUAAAAACUGACCUAUAUCUAAUUCAUUUAACUAAAACUUCUCACUAGUAGUAAUGAAAGACUUCCCUAAAUGUGUUUAAGUCCUCUAUUUCAUGGGUAGGCAUAAUACACUCACGUCGUUUUAUGUUGGUAUAUCCUAUAAGGAGUAGGCUGUGAAGGAUGGUGAAGAGGCCGGACAAAUUGACAUCUUUAGUAAAAUUUCCAUGGUUUCCAACUUUUUAUACUUGGCCAGCACCACGGCAAAAAAUGCAUUAUAUGGUUGCUAAGUGUAUUUUUAUCUUAUAAUUAAUGAUAAAGGAGAGGAGCGUGUGUGUAUAUACAUACAUACAUACAUACAUACAUACAUACAUACAUACAUACAUACAUACAUACAACACAUACAUACAUACAAACAUAGAUACAUACAUGCAUACAAACAUACAUACAUACAUACAUACAUACAUACAUACAUACAUACAUACAUACAUACAUACAUACAUGCAUACAUACAUACAUUUAAACAUAUGUAUAUUGUAUAAUGAUGGGCUUACAUUUCAAUGCAAACAUGUGCGCAUAAUUUCUUGCAUACUGAAAAUUAUAAUUCAUAGAGUAAGUUGCGAAACGACCGUAAUGCAAAUUACUUGAUUAAAUAAAUAUACAUUCAGUUCUGAAACAUUCUGACUUACUUUGUGCGUGCGCGCGUGUGUGCGUGUGUGCGUGCGCGCGUGCGUACGUGCGCGCGUGCGUGCGUGCGUGCGUGCGUGCGUGCGUGCGUAUGUAUGUAUAUGUUUCGCGAACGCUACACCCAUUUCUCUUUCCAGAAAUACAAAAAUAUGUCAGAAAAAUAAACAGAAAGAAAGUCUAGUCUCUACCCUUUCACAAUAAUCUUAAGAAUUUUCUCCAAGGGCUUAACACUCUAAAAAAAGAAAGUAAAACAAGAACGAGAGAAAAAGAAAAGAGGAAAAGAAACGGAAUAACUAUGAAUAUAUGGGAACGAAGGAAGUUCUAUAACAGGAUAAGAAAUUGACCAAUUAGCCUGAAAUAGUGGUCGUUAUGUGCUCAACGUUAUGUAAACAAGAACUAGAAAUAAUGCUGAAUAUAAAUGCUGUAACUCCAGUAACCGACUUUAACGGAGAAAACAUCUGUCACUUGACAGAUACUCUUUUGUGUAAGAAGACUAAUGUGCAGCCUUGAAAUUCUAGUGUAUUUUUUAAAACUUUCUUUCUGUGGUACAUUCCAUUAACUGUCAUGACCUCAAAUUGGAAGAGUGUAAUAGCUUUGUUUCUUUAUUAUCGGUUAGUUUAAGGGAGAGCUAACGUGGCGGGUAGUAUCUGUGUAACUUAGCUGAAAAUUAAAAUAAAUAUGGUUGAUUAUUUUGAGUUUGAACGUUUGUGAAUCGAUUGAUGAGAGUAAGAAAGUAAAGAAUAUGGGUGGGAAAGCAAGUUCCAGAAGGUUGCUAUCCAGGGAGGUAAGAUUGAGUAAAAGUGAAUAGUUUGGGAUGUGGAGGGUAAAGAGAGAGUAAAAAGGAAGAGGGGUAGAUACGAUUAAAUAGGGAGGGUCUAGCCGGAGGGGGUAUGUAGCUAGCUCCUUCAGAGGAGCAAACACUGUUGGUUGUUACAGUAAAAGAGAUAUUGAGAUCAUCUGUGUACAAAAGAUUGUACUCUAAAAUACAUUUCGACAUAAAAAUAAUGAUUUCCGAAAUUGACGCAAGACAAUGAGCAAUUUUAAAAUUGACAUAACCUAUAUUUUAUCAACAGUGUGGGAUGGUAAAGAAUUAAAAAACACUUACAAAGUGUCAUUGCUAUGCAUCACGAGAUACUUCAGUUAUCAUUAAACCGCCUUUAGCAAAGCGUUAAAAUAUGUAUCUCUAGGGGUCCGAACAAAAGCCCCCCCCCCCCAGAAGCCCCCUAGGACAAAAUCCCCAUGGUUACAUUUUUCGUUUUUAGAAUUUUUAGUUGAAUGUAUCGUCUCCAGAAUUUUUUUUAUUUUUACUUGUUGCAGUUAUUAGACUGCGGGUGGCCAUGCUGUGGCACCACCUUGAAGAAUUUUUAGAUGGCUGUAUGGAACCCAGCAUGGCCGACUGCAAUCUAAUAACUGUUACAAGUAAAAAGAAGAAAAAAAUUCUAGGGGCGAUACGUUUAACUAAAAAUUCUUGAAGGCUGUGCCGCAGCAUGGCUGCAGUCUAAUGACUGAAACAAGUAAAAGGUGAAAAAACCGAAAAAAAUAAUAAUCAGAAAAUAUAACCGUGGGGCUUUUUUCCACUUUCACACCUUAACUAUGGGGCUUUUGUCCGAGGCACUUUCGUCCUGGGGGGACUUUUGUCCUACACUAGUAUCUCUAACAUAUGUACAAAGCUAGAAUACCAAUGUUUAUUUUUUUGGCUUAAAUUACUCUUGAUCCCUAGAACUCACGGUGACCGGUAAUAAAGUCACAGUAAUAGAGUCACAAUUUUGGCUAGGAAAAAAAGGACAGACAAAUGGAAUCCGGACAAAACCUCCCUAGGACAAAAGCCCAUCGGACAACCCCCACCCCCUGGACAAAACCCCUGUGACUUUUUUUCCUGUAACUUUUUCCUUUUUUUUUUUACCUGGAUUCGGAUUCACAAGACCGCUUGCCUGGUUUCCAUAGGGUAUAAAUGACUGAAAUCACAACAUUCUCUUGAAUGGCACACCAGCUCAUUGCAGUGCUCAAGGCCAGCAAUUUUUGAGAAGAGGGGCAAGUUGAUUAUAACGACCCCUAGUACUUGACUGGUAUUUUAUUUUAUCGACCCUGAAGGGAUGAAAGGCAAGUCGACCGCGGCGGUGAGAGUUGAACUCAAAAUGUACAGAACUGGAAGAAAUGCCGCUGAGCAUUUUGCCCUCGGUGCUAAUGAUUCUUAUUUCUUUAUUGCCCACAAAGGGCUAAACAUAGAGGGGACAAACAAGGACAAAGGGAUUAAGUCGAUUACAUCGACCCCAGUUCGUAACUGGUAUUUAAUUUAUCGACCCCGAAAGGAUGAAAGGCAAAGCCAACCUCGGCGGAAUUUGAGCUCAGAACAUAACGACAAACGAAAUACCUAUUUCUUUACCACCCACAAGGGGCUAAACACAGAGAGGACAAACAAGGACAGACAAACGGAUUAAGUCGAUUAUAUCGACCCCAGUGCGUAACUGGUACUUAUUUAAUCGACCCCGAAAGGAUGAAAGGCAAAGUCGACCUCGGCGGAAUUUGAACCUAGAACGUAGCGGCAGACGAAAUACAGCUACGCAUUUCGCCAGGUGUGCUAACGUUUCUGCUAGCUCGCCGCCUUAGGGCGAGAGAAAUACAAUUAAUCAUAUUUGUUUCAAAUUUUGACAAAUUUUGAGCGAGGGGUUAAGUCGAUUACAUCGACAAUAGUACUUAACUGGUACUUAUUUUAUCGGCCUCGAAAGAAAUCAAAGGCAAAUUCGAUCCCGGCAGAAAACUGAACUCAGAACGCAAAGACGGACGAAAUGCCACUAAGCCAACAAUUCUGCUAGCUCGCCGCUCUAAGAAAUACAAUUAAUUACAUUGACACUAUGUUUUUCAAAAGUACUUAUUUAUCCAGAAAGGUAAAGAGAAGAGUCAACACUCAGAAAUGAUGUUAAGUUUGGCGGUCGCGGAAUAAUUUUUUCUCUAGCGCUGUGCUACGGCUAAUGUAUUUUGUCGAGGGGACAGGGUACGACUGUCUUUUUAGUACAGUGUUUUUGGUGUAAAUGCAGCACGGGUGAAUGGCUAAGCAGUUCGCUUCGUAACCACAAGGUCCUAGGUUCAAUUCCACUGCAUAGCUUCUAGGGCAAAUGUCAUUUUCUCCAGCCUCGGAUCGACCCAUGCCUUGUGAAUAAAAUUGGAUAGAGAAAAACUGUACCGAAGCCCACCAGAAGGUUUAUACCUGUUAUCAAAAGGUACGUACUGGUCACACUGAGUCUACUUGAGAAUAUAUUCAGGAUACACGUGUCUGUGAAUGCUAAAUCACAAACACGUUAUUUCAAGGGUAGAUAAUUCAGUUGAUCGUACAAUAGAAUCCACUGUUUUUGGUUUUACAUUUUCCUUUUUUACACAAACAGACGUAACUCGACGUACCGUAGUCGAGAGGCGAGCUUCUUAACAACGCAGCUACAGUUAAACAUAUAUCUAUAUAUAUAAAACUCUAGUUGUGUGAGUGUCUGUCCCCUUCGAUUUAGAUUCCUAACUCCUCCCACAUUUUGCGGUGCAGUUUAACCAAAUUCGGGUAUCUUAUAGUCGUGAUUCAUAUCGAGCCCGUCUGACUAUUAGCGCGCGUCAACGAUGAGUCUACGAUUUUAAAAAUAAUUUAACAUCAUUUUUUAUUCCAUUUUAAUGCAUAAAAUGCAUCGUAUGUCGAUGGCGGCGGAGUUGGCGUCCACGCUCACAGCUGCACCUGUUUGCUUCUCCCCCUUCCCUCCCUCGUGAAGCUGUGGGGAAGGGAGUGUAAAGAAAUCAACGUCGUAAUGCGUUGUGAAGGAAACCAGCGUUCUUUUAGAACAACGACUUCAUGGCUUGAAGACACCAAAACAAAAAUGGCUAAGAAAGCCCGAAUUUAUAAGGGAAGUAACUCUCUAAAAAUGCUUAUAUAGUUAUUUCCCUUACAAACCCGAGCAACGCCGGGCGAUACUGCUAGUCUAUAUAUAUAUAAAACUCUAGUUGUGUGAGUGUCUGUCCCCUUCGAUUUAGAUUCCUAACUCCCACAUUUUGCGGUGCAGUUUAACCAAAUUCGGGUAUCUUAUAGUCGUGAUUCAUAUCGAGCCCGUCUGACUAUUAGCGCGCGUCAACGAUGAGUCUACGAUUUUAAAAAUAAUUUAACAUAAUUUUUUAUUCCAUUUUAAUGCAUAAAAUGCAUCGUGUGUCGAUGGCGGCGGAGUUGGCGUCCACGCUCACAGCUUCACCUGUUUGCUUCUCCCCCUUCCCUCCCUCGUGAAGCUGUGGGGAAGGGAGUGUAAAGAAAUCAACGUCGUAAUGCGUUGUGAAGGAAACCAGCGUUCUUUUAGAACAACGACUUCAUGGCUUGAAGACACCAAAACAAAAAUGGCUAAGAAAGCCCGAAUUUAUAAGGGAAGUAACUCUCUAUCAUGGCGUCUAUAUAUAUAUAUAUAUAUAUAUAUAUAUAUAUAUAUAUAUAUAUAUAUAUAUAUUUUUAUUUUAUAGAAGGAGUAUUCUACAGGACUAGAACUGUUUCAUUCAAAACAGUUCUAGUCCUGUAGAAGCUCCUUCUAUAAAAUAAAUUAAUUUACUCUGCUAUGUAUUGAGUACCUUAUUUACUGUGGUUAACCCCGACUCAACCCGGGACCUACAUAUAUAUAUAUAUAUAUAUAUAUAUAUAUAUAUAUAUAUAUAUAUAUAUAUAUAUAUAUACAUACACAGUUGAAACACUCCUGUCACAACCUGGGGCCUUGAAAACUGCUAUAACGCAUGAAAGUAUACUAGUCCCUUAAUAUUUGAUAUUCAAUAUCAAGAAGAAGAAGGAGAAUACCCCACCAGUCUUGCUUGGUGAGGUGGGUGCUUGUUGAACACCCUGCGGGACAAAAAUAGGACAUACAUACAUACAUACAUACAUACAUACAUACAUACAUACAUACACAUAAACAUACAUGCAGACAAACAUACACAUGCAUAUACAUACUCACACACAUACAUACAUAAACAUACAUGCAUACACACACAUCCACCCAUACACACACACACACACACACACACACACACACACACACACACACACACAGCGUGAAUGCCAAGCAGUACAGCAAUUAAAUUUCCAAAUUUCUGGCAGAGUGAAUUGCGUCAUGGUGCUGUUUUUCUCACACACACAGUGCCCAACGGACCCUACUAUACUGUGUAGUCGACAAAAUCAAAAGCAAGCAAUGCGCAUGCGCGAAAUUAAAGCCGUAAAAUGGUGACAAUUUACCAAUUGCACCCUGUAUAUAUGAUAUGAUGUGAUGUAAUAUUAUACAUAUUGUGUGUGUGUGUGUGUUAAAUGAAAUAGGAUAACGCGGUCAAGGCAAUUUGAGUUUCCUACAAUCUUUAUAAAUAGAAAGGUGGUCUUACAGUUGUUUCUGGGGCAUAAAUGAUAUUCCAUCAUCAGAGACGAGUUAAAGGAGCUGCAAUAGAAGGAAUUAGUAGAGUUCAUGUAAUAGAGAGAGGGGGGAGAUAGAUAGGAAGAUAGAUAGAUAAAUAGAGAGAGAGAGAGAGAGAGAGAGAGAGAGGAGAUAGAUAGAUAGAUAGAUAGAUAGAUAGAUAGAUAGGUAGGUAGAUAGAUAGGUAGAUAGAUAGGUAAAUAGAUUAGAUAGAUAGAUAGAUAGAUAGAUAGAUAGAUAGAUAGAUAGAUAGAUAGAUAGAUAGAUAGAUAGAUAGAUAGAUAGAUAGAUAGAUAGAUAAUCUAUAUCUCCAUCUAUCUAUAUAUACAAAUUGAGAUAGGGGUUGUAAGUGCAACCCUCCAUGGGAGAACAUAUAUCCAAUAUACUGCUAGUGAAGUACCCAACAAAGUUAAUAACAUAAAUGUUAUUGCAAUGCAAUUGCAAUGCAAUUAAUCCAUUUACUGUAUUAUAUGGGCAAAGGUAAAAUGAUUUACCACAAAUUAAUAAUACAAAAUAAGAAAAUGGAGAAAUAUAUCUAAAUCAAUUAUCAACUACCAGAUAAUACUCAAUCACAUAAUUUAUUAAACCACUGCAUAUUGUACUUAUUGUAUCAUAUUACUCCUUCAUGUACACUGUUUUGUUCUAUAUUAUUAUGUUUGACCUUAAUGUUCUUAUGUAGUGGUUUAAUAAAGUAUAUAUAUAUUAGAAGAAAUGAGGUAAUCAGAAGAUCGGAUGGUUCAUAUUUAUAGAUAUUUAUUUAUAUAUUACAUUUUUUACAUAUAUAUAUCAUAUCAUUCAGAUAUAAUAUAUCAAAUUAAUUUGAUUUGAAAACCCCAAUAGAAUAGGAGAAAGCGCUAAUAAUCUGAAUGAUAUGAUCUGAAUGAUAUGAUAUAUAUAUGUAAAAAAUGUAAUAUAUAAAUAAAUAUCUAUAAACAUGAACCAUCCGAUCUUCUGAUUACCUCAUUUCUUCUAAUAUAUAAUACCUGUACAUCAUCUCCAAACCUUCCAAUAUAUAUAUAUAUAUAUAUAUAUAUAUAUAUAUAUAUAUAUAUAUAUAUAUAUAUAUAUAUAUAUAUAUAUAUAUAUAUAUGUAUGUGUGUGUUUGUGUGCCUGCGUUUGUCCUCCCAACAUCGCUUGACAACCGAUGCUGGUGUAUUUACGUCCCCGUAACUUAGCGGUUCGGCAAAAGAAUAACGAUAGAAUAAGUACUAGGCUUCCAAAGAAUAAGUCCUGGGGGGCGAUUUGCUCGACUAAAUGCGGUGUUCCAGCAUGGCCACAGUCAAAUGACUGAAAAAAUUAAAAGAGUAAAGAGUAUAUCUUCUUUAUAUAUAAAAGUAAGGUUGUGUGUCUGUCUCCUACGAUUUAGAUUCUUAACUAUUCCCACAUUUUGCGGUGCAGUUUAACCAAAACUGGGUAUCUAAUAGUCGUGAUUCAUAUCGAGCCCUCCUGGGUAUUAGCGCGCGUCUACGAUGAGUCUACGAUUUUAAAAAUAAUUUACCAUCAUUUUUUUCCAUUUUAAUGCAUUUUUCGCUAUUAUAUAAGGGAAGUCACUCUCUAAAAACGUCUAAGAUAAGUCAACGAUUUAAAAAAAAAAUUACCAUCAUUUUUUUUCCAUUUUUAAUGCAUUUUUUUGCUAUUUUUUGGCUAUAACUCUCUAAAAAUGCUUAUAUAGUUAUUUCCCUUACAAACCCGAGCAACGCCGGGCGAUACUGCUAGUAUAUAUAUAAAAGUGAAGUUGCGUGAGUGUCUGUCUCCUACGAUUUAGAUUCCUAACUACUCCCACAUUUUGCGGUGCAGUUUAACCAAAUUCGGGUAUCUUAUAGUCGUGAUUCAUAUCGAGCCCGUCUGGGUAUUAGCGCGCGUCUACGAUGAGUCUACGAUUUUAAAAAUAAUUUACCAUAAUUUUUUUCCAUUUUAACGCAUAUUUUUUCGUGUGUCGAUGGCGGCGGAGCUGGCGUCCAUGCUCACACCUGCACCUGUGUUGCUUCUCCCCCUUCUUCCCUCCCUCGUGAAGCUGUGGGGAAGGGAGUGUAAGGAAAUCAACGUCGUAAAGCGUUGUCAAGGAGACCAGCGUACUUUUAGAACAAUGACUUCAUGACUUGAAGACACCAAAACAGAAAUGGCUAAGAAAGCCCGAAAGCAAAUUCUACAAAAUCGGGAAACACGCCACACAGGGAAGGUUUCCCGUGCAAAUAAUUUGCACAACCGAAUGUUAUAGUUGUUGCACAACUUUUACUUAAAAAGUAUUAUCCAAACACAAACUUUUGAAGGCAAUAUUGUAUGGCGAUGGUACUUGUGAAAUAUGGUAAUGGAUUUAGUAGCCAAAAGGAGAGAGCAGAGGCAUAGUAUGGUGGUGGUGGAGGCGGUGGUAGUGGAAGCGGUGGUGGUGGCGGUGGUGGCGGUGGUGGCGGUGGUGGCGGUGGUGGCGGUGGUGCUGGUAGUGGUGAUGGUGGUUGUGGUCGUAGUGGUCGUCGUGUUUGUGGUGGUGGUGGUGGUGGUGGUGUUGUUGUUGUUGUUGUUGUGGGUGGUGGUGGUGGUGGGGGUGGGGGUGGGGGUGGUGAUGAUGGUGGUGGUCGUGGUCUUCGUGAUGGUGGUGGUGAUGGUCAUGGGCGUAGUGGUGGUGGUGGUCAUGGUGGUAGUGGUGAUGGUGUUGGUCGUGGUGGUAGUGGUGGUGGUGGCUGAAGCUGUCGUCUGGGUUCUUCCAAUUUUUUCGUGUGUCGGUGGCGGCGUUGGCGUUCAUGCUCGCACCUGUGUAGCUCCUCCCCUUCUUCCCUUCCUCGUGAAACUGUGGGGAAGGCAGGGUAUGGAAAUCAAUGUCGUAAAGCGUUGUCAAGGAGACCAGCGUUCUUUUAGAACAACGACUUCAUGGCUUGAAGUCGCCAAAUCAGAAAUCGCUAAAAAAGCUGAAACAGAUCCACAAAAACGGCAAAAACCUCCACACAGGGCAGGUUUCCUGUGCAAACAAUUUGCACAAUCGAAUGUUUUAGUUGUUGCACAAAUCUUUAUAUAUAAAAGUCAAGUUGUGUGUCUGUCUCCUACGAUUUAGAUUCCUAACUACUCCCACAUUUUGCGGUGCAGUUUAACCAAAACCGGGUAUCUUAUAGUCGUGAUUCAUAUCGAGCCCUUCUGGGUAUUAGCGCGCGUCUACGAUGAGUCUACGAUUUAAAAAAAAAUUUACCAUCAUUUUUUCCAUGUUAAUGCAUUUUUUCGCUAUUAUAUAAGGGAAGUAACUCUCUAAAAAUGUCUACGAUGAGUCAAUGAUUAAAAAAAAAAAUUACCAUCAUUUUUUAUUCCAUUUUUAAUGCAUUUUUUUGCCAUUUUUUUGCUAUAACUCUCUAAAAAUGCUUAUAUAGUUAUUUCCCUUACAAACCCGAGCAACGCCGGGAGAUACCGCUAGUUUUAUAUAAUGAAAUUAUUACGAGGAUAUUGAAUUAGAUUUUUCUUUUCUCUCUUUCUUUCUUUUUCUUUUGGCGGGGGGUUAUGUAUGCAACUAUAAAAUUUAUUUAUUUCUUCGUCACUCUUUAUUAAUGAUCUUUGGUGGCAAAAAAAAAAAAAUGAUUCAUUGAUGUCUGUCAAAAAUUUCUCAAGAAACUCCUAAACAUCGGUUUCCACCUUGGCUUGUGUUGGAUUUUCUUUUAGCUAAGGUAGAUUUUUAUUAAUGAUGGCAGUGUCUUCAUCCGUUAAAAGGUAUCGAUCAAAUAAGUGAGCAUCUUCAUAUUUCAGCAUCUAAAAACAAAAGUUCUCGGUAAUAAAACUAGAUCAAUGGACCUCCUGUUUAGUGUUGCAGUUUGCGCUGCUUAGCUACAGGUUAACCUGGCAUACAGUCAAAGACGUUCUUCUCAUCACUAUACAUUAUGAUAAGUACUUUUACUUUUAAGGCUAUAGAGUAUCACCUGAGGGAAAUUUGGAUGCUAUUUCUAUUAGGUCGAUCCAAAACACAGGGGCUCACGAUUACUUUAGUUAGGUCAUGAUUGCUUUACUUAAAAAAAAAACCUUAGUAUUCCGUUAAAAAAAAAGGCACACGGGCUUCAUGUGUUUAAAAGUAAGAGGUCAGGAAAAGAAUGCCCUAAUAUUUCGGUAUUUAAAAAAGGAAAGUAUUCGAUCACGAAAGUAAAUAGAUGGAACCUGGGCAUCAAUUUCGCUAAAAGGGUUUAAUGUCUUACAUACAUAAUAUAGUCUGUUGAAAGACUUUCGUUAACGGAGAUUAUCAAAGUAAUUAGAAGACAAAAGCUUCUAUGAAUAUCUAAAAUUUAAAUAUAUAUAAGCAAGGUAGAUAAAUUCAGUAAAAUCAGUUGAUCGAACAUUUUAAACUAGAAAAAUACUGUUAAUUGAAGUGGAUCUGCUCUUUAGAGUGAAAGCAACGGACAUGCUUGGUGUUUAUUAGACCUCCUCGGUGAAGCAUAGUCUUUUGGGGGGGGGCAAGAUUAAGAGAAAACAAUCUCUGUGUGUGUGUGUGUGUGUGUGUGUGUGUGUGUGUGUGUGUGUGUGUGUGUGUGUACGUGCAUGCGUGCGCGCUUGUGUAUAUACAGAUAGGUAUACAUUUAUACACACACAUUUACGGAGGUUAUUAAAUUUCCAGUUCUCACUGCUUUCGCAUUUUAGACAUAGUGAUUAUGAGAGAAAUUUUACAUUUUUUCAGAAGGAAAGAGAAUUUGGCAAAUAUAAAGCUAUCUCGGGUGUUUUGUGUUAUCUAGUUCAGGGCUUGCAUUAUCAAUGAGUACCUUCCUUAGGGAGGUGAGCAUUUAGUCGAAGUAUUUUUAGACUUGCACUGCAUCCAUGGCAGACAUGUAACUUUCAAUGGCUAUAAGUCUCCUUAACUAUAAACAGAUGCUCUAAGAAUGUAGGGAUUUGCAUUAUUUUGUAACAAGAACCUCAGUGGAAAUAUUAUUAAUAUACUGACUUCUAAAAUUCAUGAAAGAAUAUCAUUAAUGUAUUACAAAACAGAGAGUAUCAUGAUAUUAUCUCUUAAAAUCCUGACAGUGUAAUAUUCCCUGCGGUAUUUAGUUGUCAUUUUAAGUUCUAAGAUCAAGUCCUGCCAUUUAAGUUUACCUUUCCUUCUUCUGUAGUGGACAU